UAUUUUUCGGCAUGAUUUUGUGUAAACUAAUAAUGAUAUAACUAUCAAAAAUAGAGGGAACAAUGUGAACUUUAAAACUAUGAAAAUUGAUAUUGGAGGUAAUUAUAAAAAAUGCAAGGGCAGGCAAUUGAUGUCAAAAUCUAGGUAAUAACUAGUUACUAUAGAUGAGUAUUCACUAUUGUGUUGACGUUUUAUGUCAUUUUUUUAAAAAUAUAUUGUCAAGAUGUCAUACUUAUAAUUUUGGCACAUUUUAAAGUGAUCAACCACACACUAUAAAUAUGUGUAUCGUGUAUGUGUGUACACACACACGAACCUUCUUUAUAAUUUGUGUUGUGUGUGUGUAGGGGGACACACAUACAAAAACCUGCAUGCAUUUUGUGGUAAUGAAUUAAGAUUCUUUUUGGGGAAGAAAAAUCAUUGGUUAGUACGAGAAAAUCUUAAUAUUAUCCUUUUAGUGGUCUCGUAAGCUUAGCAUGUGUCGAAAAUAUUUGAAAUAUAUAUAAUGUGAUAUUUCAGUGGGUGCGUCUUUGAAUGCCUUGAAUCCUCCAUAACCAUAAUAACUAUUGACACAUGUUGAAAAUGUAUUACACUAUUAGGAUUGGUCAUCACUAUUAUGAUAAUUUUUCUAAACAUUAAACAACUGCACAUCAUCUGAUUCAUCCACGCCAACGUACCUAAUAAUAUUAAUCUCAUAAAUUCAAUAAUAACAAAAAGUGCCUAUACAUAUUUACACAAACGGGUCAAGAAUAGCUUAAACAUAACGGGGGCAGAGUAUUCGAGUGAGUUGAGAUGGACUGACCCAGUUGUGAGUCGAAAAGGGAGCGGUCCUUGAAAACCGGGGAGAUACUUGAUGAGUGGUGAAUGGAAAUCUGCACUUGCUUGCUGGACAAGGUUUUGUAGUAUUCCAAAAACUACCACAACAAGAAGCUCCGGUUUAAAGUGUGGCUUCUUCUCCAUAUUAUGAGUUUGGUGGUGGUGCUUUUGCAAUUCUGCGUUCAUCACACGCACAUCAUUUCUAAGACUAUUUAACUCCAAUAAUUAUGUUUUGUUUCUGCAAAGCCAAAAAGCAUGUGCCAAUAGUAGAAUAGAUGUCAUUGUCUUUGCUGCCUAGCUAACCAACACGGGUCAAACAAGAUGGCGGGGUCAGUUUUUCUAUCCACAAAUUUAUUAUCACUAUCUCGUCCAAGAUAUCGUAACACUUUCAAAACAUGGCUAUUUUUAGCGUUUUCGAGAAAAGGAAGGAGGACUUCUGAAAAAUAAAGAUUAAAAAUUUUAAUUUUGGAGUAAUUUGUUUUCCGAUUUAAAAUUUGUAAUCACAUUCUUAACAUUCAUCUUUUAAUAUAUUUUAAUUGAAAUUUGAAUUUGAUCCCGGUCAAAUAUUUGUACAUUGGAUAAAAAUUACAGAAUUUAGUUUGUUAGAGUAUUAAAAUAUAAACAAAGGGAAACUUAAAGUCGAUUUAAAACACUUACUUAAUAUCGUAUGUGUUUUGUGUACGAUUUUAAUGACAUUAAGUCGUAUAUAUUGUAUAUGACAUUUGAUUACAUUUUCGUAACAAUAGAACUCAUCUUUCUGUAUUAAAAAUUUCGAUUUAUAUUGCACAAUAUCGAUCAAACUAAACUAAUGCUUUUUUGGCCUUGAAGAAGUACGGGCCCUACUCCACCUCGCAUCCGAAAAAUUGCAGGGCUUGUCGCUUGAUGCUUUUGUGAAAGAAAAGUAGUAGUAUAUUUCAUGAUCACAUAAAAAAUUAUUCAUUUUCGAACAACCUUCUCGACAACGGGGAUAAAUUUUGAUACGGAGAAAUUUUGGUGACAAAACUUUCAAGCUUCUGCAGGAGCACAGAAAUCCUUGCAGAUGUGCUUUGUGCUUUCGCAUUGGCAGCUUUAUCUUCUGAUGAAGACAUGCAAAAAGAUGCAAGUUCAAAUCGUCAUAUAUUGUAUAUCUUUGGUUGAGCACAAGCCUUCUCCUUUUCUGGAUUUACUAUGUUCACUCACAAUGCUUUGUGUUGGACUGUUAGUCACAGACACUGAGGUACGGGGGCGGAUCUAGACCCAAAAUCUUAGGGGGCACCAAAUAAAUUUUCAGAAAAAAUCUAUAUAUUUUCAAAUUUUCAAUUUUUUUUUUGUGAUGGUGUAUUACCAAAACUCAAAUACUCAUAAAGGAACUCACCACUAAUCUACAAUAAUAUUAUAAAAGAGGCACAACUUGUAAAUUACGAUUAUUUGGAUUAAAGCAGUUUAAUAUCUAUGUUUCUAUGUCAUUUUUUUAAUUAAAUAUAAAUAUUCAAGUUGAGGAGAGCACCCAUACCCACCACUUAUCCAUCUUAGACCCAAGGACGAAGCUCGACAUCAAUCUUCUUUUUGCAACUCAAAAUAAUAUUAAAAUAUAGUUGAUAUCCGAAUAAAAAUAUAAAGUAAUAUACAUAUAAAUCAAAUACCCCAUGUUCUUUUAAAUCCCAAAAUUCAUGUAUUAAAAUAUUAGUAUUAUUAAAUGUAUUGAACCAACUCCUAUAUAUAAUAAAGUUAACGGUUGAAGAGGGGCCAAAAAUUGAAAUUCUAUAACUUUUAACAAAAAAAACACAUAUAAAAUAGAAAAUGUGUUGAUAUUAAGGGGAGCUCACCCCUUUGGCCCAUAAUAUACUAUGUCACUGCUUAGACCCCAUUUUGAGUGGAUAUAUUACGCACAAUCUUAACUAAAAAAUUUAAAUAUAAAUUAAAAAAUUAAAGUAAAAAAAAAGUUCAUACCUUUACGGUAGCAAAAGUCAUUUUGUUAGAGUACGUCCUUGUGUAACUAUACAUCAAAAGAAUUAAUAAACAUUAUUAAAGUACUAGAUUUAAAAUCAACUUGGGAAUCAAAUAAACUAGUGAAGGAUUAACAAAAUCUCACCCGGCAUAUUGGCCUUCGACAAUCCAUGGUCGCCAAUCAUCAAUGAUGGAAUAGUUUAGACCUCUUAUCCAAGCUUGAGUUGAUUGAAAUGGCACCACCAUGUCAUGGUCUCCACUAUCAAUCACCAUUAAAUUUUCUCAAUAUAUAUUACUUCGUAGAUGUGAAAAAUAAUCCAUCUUAAAAUUAUUUUUAAUUAAAAUUUGUUGCAAAAUGCUAUAAACUGACCUGUAUAUGAGAGAUCUAUAACCUUUUUUGCUGAGAUUUGCAUGAUAUGAUCUCGUAUCUAAGAUCACCUUUUCAAAUAACAACUCUUUUUUGCAUCUUACCCAUGUUCCUAUGGACCCCUGUAUAUUAAAGUAUGUUGACAUUCUUAAGUUGUAUUUUGAUAAAAAUCAGUGGAGAAUGAAGACAUACCUUUCUGAUAUGCAACGCUUUCUGCACAUUCUCAUCAUUACUCCAGUAACUAGAAAGCGGAUAUCCAUCAUUCUGCAGUCAUUUUAUUUUCAAAAGUCAUUUAUGCCUCCGUGUGCUACUGCUAUAUAUACAUAAAUCACAACCCAAAUUCAUAUAUGCUUCAUGUAGAUUUUAAUAUUUUAGUAAUAAUAAUCUUGAAAUUCAAAGCUUAUUAUUAUACACAUAUAUUUAUUUUUUUGAUAUAUGUACCACUAUUGAGGCUGCAAUUGCUUUAAAAUUGAUAAUGUAUAUAGAUGAUAAAGGAAAAUUUUGGAGCAUGUAGAUAUAUAAUCUUGAAAUUCUUUACCAGCUUAUUAGGAGAAUAAUUUUUUUUUCAACCACUUAGAGAAAGAACGUUUUUCUAACAAUUGUUUCAGCGCCAAGUAACCUUUUAUUCACUCGUUCUUUAUUGCCAAUUCGUAAAUGAAAAGCAGCUAUAGUAAAGCUUAUACUUAUAUUUUGAUAUUAAAAAUACAUAUAGAAGGAGGACAUACACGACAUUCAAAUGCAGAUAGUGGUAAUUUAGGAUUAUUAUGGCCUCCAAAUUUAUCCAUGACCUCUGUUUUUUCAUAAGAUAAUGACCUGCGCAGCGGUUCAACACAAUUUUUCUCCAAUAUUUGUGGUUUAAAGAGUCCACUCCUACACUGAAGAGAUAUAUAUGUCAAAUUACUAAGCGACAAAUAUAAUGUAACGGUACGAUGACUUAAAAAAUUGAAAUGUAAUAAGUAACCUCUUCAUAAGCCGCUUUAUUUUGUGAACACUCUGCAUUAUCAAUAUCUGAUUUUUGAUAAUCAAGCCCACAAUUUCUUCUCAAUGACUAUAAUCAAGAAAGUUAUAAGUGGAUUUGAUAAAUCAAAAUCAUUAAAAAAUAAAUACUUCUAAAAACAAACAAACCUCAUAUAGUUCAUCUGAAAUAAUUCCCAUUCCAUGAGCAAAUGUGUAGCGAAAGUUUAUCUCACUAGGAAAUGCCGUAGGAUUUCCAAGUAAGUAACCCUGAAUUGCACAAUAAAUUGUUAAAUUAUUUUUACAUGUCAUGUAUGAUAGUAAUCCACAUUAAAAUCAAAUUUUAAGCAUAAUUAUGAUUAAUUUUAAAAUCAUUUAGUAGAUUUUAAAGUAAAAUGAAAUGGUUCUCGAGACUCUAUAUAAUAUGGUCCCUCUCUCUCUCUAUAUAUAUAUAUAUACACACACACACACACAUGUGUGUGUGUGUGUGAGAGAGAGAGAGACAAGCACAUAUAACAAUCAACGCUACUAAAUUUUAGUACAUAGCGCAUAACAAUAUAUAUAUAACUAGAACAUAUAAUAGUACAACAUAUAAUGCAUAAUUAUAUACAGUACUACACACUUAUUUACCGAACAUAUAUAUACGACAAAAUAUACAUAUGAUUUUGAAAUAUAGGACUUGUAAAAAAUAUUAUUGAACACUGAAAAACAAAAUAAAUAAUAAUGAUAGAAUCCAUAAAAUGAUUUUUGACAGAAAAGAAAAGAAUCCAUAAAAUUAAUGAUAGAAAAAUAUAUAACAGGAUUAAAACACAAACAAUACAUUUACAGAACAUAUUCAAGGAAACAAAAUAAAAAAUGAUGAAGAGUUUUUUGUAAAAACAUUUCCGCAACUCGAGAGGCAUUGAAAUAUUUUAUAACACACAUAAAUUUAGAAAAAUAUUUAUAAAUUUUUAAUGAUUUUUUAUGUAAAUAUCAGGAACCAAAUUUAGUCACUUUUAUAACGAGUGACUAAUUCCAUACAUUUAGAUCUAGAGAUAACUUUGAUAGAUAUCGGGAUUUAUAUCAAAAUAGCUAUUCGUUGCACUCAAAUAUCUCACUUAACUCAUCAUUUUCUAUGAAACCUCAUAUAAAUCACUUAAAUCACUACACACACACACAUAUACAUAUAUAUUACUCUCCUAAUUUUAUUUUAUUUUAAAGUAAGUGAAAAAAUUGAUACUUUAUGCUUUAUAUUAAUUAUUAAUUUUAUAUAAUACAUGUACUAUAUUAGCACGACUUUCGUAUUAUUAUAUUUUAUAGAGUAAUUGACACUUUGCACCCCUCAAGUUUAGGCGUUUUUUCGAUUUGGUAUCAAACAAUUGUUUUGGCAAUAUGCACCGUAAAAUUUAAAAAGCACUUCGAUUUGCACCCAUUUGACCAUAUUCCGUCAAAUUGACUGUAAGUUAGUUUGUUAUAUAAUCCCUCAUACCAAAAACCCACCAAGUAUCUAUUAUAUAUUCUGAUUAGCCCUCAUGCCAAAAACCGAUAUAUAAUAGAUGGACAACCAUGACAUUUCACACUUGUGAGGGUCAAAAGGACAUUAAACAUUAAUGGUUAAAAUGAACAUCUAAUGUAUUUUAAGAUAUUCUUUAGGGGUUAAAGAACAUCUAAGGUGUUCUUUAAGGGUUAGAAAGAACGAACAAAUUUUAUCUUAAAUAGCGCAAUGAAUGGUUAUUGUAAUAUAAACCCCAGUAAAUAUCCUUGAAAAAACUCGGACCUGAAACAAAGUAAGAUUACUCAUCACAUAUUUACAAACCUUCAGAUUAAUGGGUUGCUCAGGACCUAUUUUAGCCUCAUUUACUGCAUGAUAAUAAACAUAUAUAAUAAGUAGCUGGCUAAAAUCUUUCAAAAAACCAAUAAUAUUUCUUAUUCUUAAACUCUAUAAAACACUCUUACCAUGUGAAAUCAUCUGUGUAAUAACCGGAACAAAGAUUCCAGCGUAAGAGUCUCCACCAACAUAAAACGGAUUCGCAAGGAAUUGAGGAUGACUCAUAAACCACUGCAAAACACUUUUAUUAAAGCUGGUCCCUGAGAAUAUUUAGUUGAAAUUAGACAGAAGCUGCACCUUUUUUAAGAAUUGUAGAGCCUGAGCACAUGCUUGAGUGUCAUUAGAUUGAGAAGCAAUAGAAGUCUUGGCGUAGGAAAAACCGGUACCAACAGGCAAGUCCAAAAAUAGUAUAUUUGCUACCUAUAAGUCAUACAAUGAUACAAAAUUUCAAACCCGCAAUAGUAUUGAUAACUUAACAUUUUUAGGCAAAUCUAGAAUUAUAUGUAAGUUAUAAACUGACUUAAAGUCGGAAAUGAGUAGGAUAUACCUUUUUAAGCAUUUUUUAUUAUUUUUCGUGAAUUUUUAAUAAAAUUAAUUUAUCGCUCAAAUAAAUAACCUAUCAAAUUUAUUUGUAUUAUAAUAUUUUAAAUAAUUCAUAAAUUAUCUACAAUAUAAAUUCACUCAAACAGAUAAUUUAAAUCGCUAACUUAUCAUAUUAAUUAUAUGUUACGAGUCAUUAAGCCAAAACCCAAACGGGUUCCAGGAGUGGUGAGAUUUACAUCACGUACCUACUAUCUUGGAUAUUAUAUCAAUACAUUAAAAGUGAACAAACUUUAAAAUUAGGAUUGUGUGAUUAAUCUACAUUGACAGUGAAAUACAAUUUCUGAUUUUCUUCGUUCUCGAUUUGUCUAAUGAUAAUAACAUUACAAAAAACAUGUUUUAUCGACUUAAUAUAAAUUCAAUUGAGGAUUUAUUUUUGACCUGCUUAAAAUCGACCAAAAAUAUUCCGGUCGAAAAUAAUUAUAUUCGACUCUUAACGGUCAAAAAAAUCUAUUUUGGCCGGAUCUUCGCGGUCGAAAAUAGCCGCAUUUCAUGUAGUACUUCUUUAUUAUUUAAAUAACCCACAACCUAACGCAUAGCAGAUCAACACUUGACUAUCACACAAAACACGACAUUCAACAUUUUUAUUACAAAAUAUCACUCUUAACUAUACACGUAACAGGGGAUAUGAAAAUUUCUCAAAUUUUCAACUAGAGUCAUCAGUCAUAACAUCCGUUACAUUUGCAUCCAGAAAACGCAAGAUUGAUGGAUAUGGUUUAAAAUAAGUUAAAAGUUACUCAUCAAAAUAAUAAAUCUUAUCAUCAUAUAUAAUGUAGCCUUUAGAGUAUAAAUUCAUGAUAAUACUAGAAUAAUACUAGAAUACAACAAGUACUAUAUCAAGGAAAUAGUUACAUACAAUUAAUAUACGCAUCUCACUCUCUAACAAUAAAUCUACAAUUUUAACAAUAAAUCUAUAAUUGAAGAAUAUAUUUUUUUUUUUUUGAAAUAAUUGAAGAAUAUAUUUAUAAGCAGACAUAUUUACCUUUGUCCAUGUGUGGGGAUUUAAAAUUAAGGUUGGCAAAGUGCCGUUAUACUCCACUUGCUCAAAAUAUACUGGACCUGCAUAUACACAAAUUAUCAGGGUUAAAAGAAAAAUUACUAAUAAAAUUCAGAAGCUGAAAUUAAAAAAAUCCCGUUAAUGAAAAAUAAAAUCACAAAAUAGUUGAAUGGGACAAUCUAAGCAAAUCAAAACAUAAUUUGUUUCAGAGACCUUCAAAACCAGCCAACUCAACAGUUUUGUCAUGGCAAAGGUGGGUGCCACAGAGUAAAUAAAUGUGAUAAAGGUGAAAUAAUUUGGGAGAAAAAAUAACUAAAAUCGAGAACGCCAUCAAUACUUUGAUGCAUAACCCAUACUCUUUCCAUAAACUCCAUGGGUGAUAAGGUUAUCAUAAGUGACUUGGAAUAGAAAGCAGAUCAUUGCUUUUGUAAAGCUUUCUUCAUGGGGGGCACUUCUAUAAUUUUGUAAAAUUUAGAAUGGUGAAAAAAUGCAAAAAACAAUUUUAGGGGGGGCACGUGUCCCCCGUGCCUCUUCCUAGAUCCGCCCCUGCUGAGGUAUGGUAGAAUAUAUAAGAGAAUACAGCAAAGGAGCUCAUCUGCACCAAAAUUCGCCACGUUAGGGAGGACUUACAGAUUACACUGUGUACAUUGUGGUUUUCUUGAUCCAAAAUAUAGAAGUGUUUGCUCAGNAUUUUUUUUUUUUUGAAAUAAUUGAAGAAUAUAUUUAUAAGCAGACAUAUUUACCUUUGUCCAUGUGUGGGGAUUUAAAAUUAAGGUUGGCAAAGUGCCGUUAUACUCCACUUGCUCAAAAUAUACUGGACCUGCAUAUACACAAAUUAUCAGGGUUAAAAGAAAAAUUACUAAUAAAAUUCAGAAGCUGAAAUUAAAAAAAUCCCGUUAAUGAAAAAUAAAAUCACAAAAUAGUUGAAUGGGACAAUCUAAGCAAAUCAAAACAUAAUUUGUUUCAGAGACCUUCAAAACCAGCCAACUCAACAGUUUUGUCAUGGCAAAGGUGGGUGCCACAGAGUAAAUAAAUGUGAUAAAGGUGAAAUAAUUUGGGAGAAAAAAUAACUAAAAUCGAGAACGCCAUCAAUACUUUGAUGCAUAACCCAUACUCUUUCCAUAAACUCCAUGGGUGAUAAGGUUAUCAUAAGUGACUUGGAAUAGAAAGCAGAUCAUUGCUUUUGUAAAGCUUUCUUCAUAGUCUUUCUAACAAAAAACGAGUACCCAUUUCUUUAUUUUGGGACUGUACUUGACACGUAUUUUAAUAUUAUUAUUUUUUUAAAAAAGAAAAAGAAUUAUGUUAAAAUAUAUAUAGAAAAAUAAAAAAUUUAAAAAUAAGUUGUGCAACUAUAUCACUGUACUUAUCAUAUACACCUUGAAAUGUUCAAAAAACCGCAAAGAGGGACGGAGGAGUAAAUUAUAGGAGUAUAAGAGAAACGAAGCAAUCAAAAGAAUGCUGACUCAAGUGUCUUGCAUACCCCUAUGCCUUGGCUUUUAUGCUCAAGUCUUGAGAAAUUAUAGGUUUUAGUGGAUGAAGGCACAACAUUUUUUCAUUAUAUCUUGGUGCAGGAAGGUACCAAAGCUCCGAUUAAAAUCAGUUGCCGAGAAUGUUUUAUUAUUUUCAAGGACUAUUGUUUCUCGGAUAAAAAAUAUUACUGCAAUAUUUUGGAUUGAAUAUACAACGAAAAGAAUCACCUAAAUAACGAAGCUUAAAACAUGUCUCCAAUUAUAGAAGUAGUGCAUGUUGAAAAUCACCUAAUAUUAGAAAGGAAAAACCAACAUUUGAACGCUAACAAUGUAAAGACAAUUUGAGUUAUUUGUGUAUAAAGCGGAGAACAAACUAAGUAAACUGGUAUGCUGCAGGCUGCAUGUUUUUCAUAGUAGAAGAGAAAACUGGAUACUUCUCAUCUUAUUAGAAAAAGCAAGAUUACAUGCUUAAAUAAUAAUAAACCCACCAAACGUGGUGCCAACAAACUAGGAAGUGCUAACUAUCUCCUAAACAACUUCAAACUUGAUAACUCACUUUAGUGCUUCCUAAUAUCUUUCCGCAUCCUAUGCUACCAACCUACAUUAUCUAGUAACCUGGUAGUGCAUACAACCAAAUCCUACGACAAAUAAAACACUACAACUCAUUUAUUCAAUACUAAAUAAAUAAAUAAAAUAUUCAAAUAACAAAUUUAAGAUUAAAUUCCAACAGUGCAUACCGAAUUCAUAAGCGAAGGCGGUGAUAGUAGAACAACCAGGACCUCCUGUCAUCCAAAGUAUUAGAGGAUCAUCUCUCGGAUUUGUCUGAGACUCGACAAAAUAAUAAAACAACUGCACAUCAUCUGAUUCAUCCACGCCAACGUACCUAAUAAUAUUAAUCUCAUAAAUUCAAUAAUAACAAAAAGUGCCUAUACAUAUUUACACAAACGGGUCAAGAAUAGCUUAAACAUAACGGGGGCAGAGUAUUCGAGUGAGUUGAGAUGGACUGACCCAGUUGUGAGUCGAAAAGGGAGCGGUCCUUGAAAACCGGGGAGAUACUUGAUGAGUGGUGAAUGGAAAUCUGCACUUGCUUGCUGGACAAGGUUUUGUAGUAUUCCAAAAACUACCACAACAAGAAGCUCCGGUUUAAAGUGUGGCUUCUUCUCCAUAUUAUGAGUUUGGUGGUGGUGCUUUUGCAAUUCUGCGUUCAUCACACGCACAUCAUUUCUAAGACUAUUUAACUCCAAUAAUUAUGUUUUGUUUCUGCAAAGCCAAAAAGCAUGUGCCAAUAGUAGAAUAGAUGUCAUUGUCUUUGCUGCCUAGCUAACCAACACGGGUCAAACAAGAUGGCGGGGUCAGUUUUUCUAUCCACAAAUUUAUUAUCACUAUCUCGUCCAAGAUAUCGUAACACUUUCAAAACAUGGCUAUUUUUAGCGUUUUCGAGAAAAGGAAGGAGGACUUCUGAAAAAUAAAGAUUAAAAAUUUUAAUUUUGGAGUAAUUUGUUUUCCGAUUUAAAAUUUGUAAUCACAUUCUUAACAUUCAUCUUUUAAUAUAUUUUAAUUGAAAUUUGAAUUUGAUCCCGGUCAAAUAUUUGUACAUUGGAUAAAAAUUACAGAAUUUAGUUUGUUAGAGUAUUAAAAUAUAAACAAAGGGAAACUUAAAGUCGAUUUAAAACACUUACUUAAUAUCGUAUGUGUUUUGUGUACGAUUUUAAUGACAUUAAGUCGUAUAUAUUGUAUAUGACAUUUGAUUACAUUUUCGUAACAAUAGAACUCAUCUUUCUGUAUUAAAAAUUUCGAUUUAUAUUGCACAAUAUCGAUCAAACUAAACUAAUGCUUUUUUGGCCUUGAAGAAGUACGGGCCCUACUCCACCUCGCAUCCGAAAAAUUGCAGGGCUUGUCGCUUGAUGCUUUUGUGAAAGAAAAGUAGUAGUAUAUUUCAUGAUCACAUAAAAAAUUAUUCAUUUUCGAACAACCUUCUCGACAACGGGGAUAAAUUUUGAUACGGAGAAAUUUUGGUGACAAAACUUUCAAGCUUCUGCAGGAGCACAGAAAUCCUUGCAGAUGUGCUUUGUGCUUUCGCAUUGGCAGCUUUAUCUUCUGAUGAAGACAUGCAAAAAGAUGCAAGUUCAAAUCGUCAUAUAUUGUAUAUCUUUGGUUGAGCACAAGCCUUCUCCUUUUCUGGAUUUACUAUGUUCACUCACAAUGCUUUGUGUUGGACUGUUAGUCACAGACACUGAGGUACGGGGGCGGAUCUAGACCCAAAAUCUUAGGGGGCACCAAAUAAAUUUUCAGAAAAAAUCUAUAUAUUUUCAAAUUUUCGGGGGGGCACUUCUAUAAUUUUGUAAAAUUUAGAAUGGUGAAAAAAUGCAAAAAACAAUUUUAGGGGGGGCACGUGUCCCCCGUGCCUCUUCCUAGAUCCGCCCCUGCUGAGGUAUGGUAGAAUAUAUAAGAGAAUACAGCAAAGGAGCUCAUCUGCACCAAAAUUCGCCACGUUAGGGAGGACUUACAGAUUACACUGUGUACAUUGUGGUUUUCUUGAUCCAAAAUAUAGAAGUGUUUGCUCAGUUUUGCAGGUUCCAUCAUUUUGAGUUGCGAAAUUUUUUGUCUUUUAAUGCAUCUGUCAAAGACUAAGAUUGUGUUCACUUCGAUAGAAUGGAUUAAUGGAAUGAGGGAAGAAUGCGAUGAAAAUAUGUGAACACGUUUCGUGGAGAAAAUAUGUGAGAAUAUGUGAUCUUGUGUCUUUUAACUGAGUUUUCUUUUCAGUCAUUAAGAUUUUAUCGAUUAAAUUUCUAGGGCCAUCUCUGCAUGACCUUUAGUUGGUUGAAUUUUUCUUUGAAUAUAAUUUCCCAUCUUUUUUUUUAGAUUCCCAUAUUUUUCUUUUCCUGCAAGUCUUUUUCGGAUAUCAAGAUUUUUUUUAUCUAUUUUCAGUGGGACAUCUCUGUAUGCCCUCUGGUUCGAUGAAAUAUUUUCAUGUAUGAAAUAAACUCUUCUUUUCGGUAUUAUCGGUAUAAUUUUUUGACGAGAAAGUCUUAUGACAAAAAAAGAGUAUUGGCGAUUCUUUGUUUACAUUCAUACAAAUUCUUCAGAAUAGAUAUAUGAAUUCAUCCCUUUUGCAACCCCCUUUUAUUCACCUUGAAGUCUUUAAUUAAUGCUAAUUAAUUUGUUGAUGUUGACCACAAUUUUGUCCACAAUGUUGUGUUAAAUUUAAAAAGUAUAUUCAAUAUUAUAAAUAAAUACUCCUCAUAGUAUGCAGAAAACCCUUUACAAUAUAGACCAGAGCCUAAAUUGUCGUUAAUAUCCAAAUAUAUAAUAGCUCAUUCCCUUACAAGACUUAUCUUGUAUUCUUAGAGUGAAAUCUCUGGCUUCCUUCUCAAAUACUAUGCAACUACACGUUUUAGCUUGAAGUGAUGAUUUCUAAUCAUGAAAUGGUGUAUAUAUACAUAAUUCGUACUGAUUCUCAUCCGUGUUUACAUCUCUUCUUUUCAUUCUUGUUACUAAAAAAUCAUCUUUUCAAUGUUUUGCACUAUUAUAAAACUUGUUACUCCCUCCGUCCCUAAAUACUUUUCCUAUUUGUACUUUUCACGUUUGCCAACACACACUUUUGAUUGUUAAUAUCUUUCAUUUCGUAGUAGCAUUAAAUAUAAAAAUUUCACCGUAUUAAAAUACUUGUGAAUACGAAUCUAACAAGAUCACUCAUGACUAUAUUUAAUUUUACAGAUUAGAUGUAAAUUAGUAAUUUAUCUCAUGUUAUGAACAGUACCGACAUCACAAACAGGAAAAGAAAAAAGAAACGGAGAGAGUACUAACAAGUCAAUCUUUUUUAUGUUCUACAUUAGCUAGUUCAAACUUCAACGCAUAACAUGAUUGGAGUUAUCAUUAUGCACAAUGUCUCAUAUAUGAACAAACAUCAAUCAUCAAUCAAUCAUCAAUAUAUAUAUAUAAAGGAGGAUGUGGCCGUCUCUACAAUUGUUCGAUUCAGUCUUCUGAUUUUUCUUAAAUUUCAGAUAGAAAAUAUAAUUAUAAUUCAAAAAUUCAUGUUUAAAAAUCUUAAAGAUAAUACAAUUCUUUUUUAUUGGAUUCUAAAGGUAAUACAAUUCUUCUUAUUAUUUAAGAAUCAUAAGGAUAAUACAAUUCUUAUUGUUAAUUAUAUAUUAAUAUAUGAAUUAUUAAAAAAGUACAAUUUUUAUUUUCAAAAGUUAUAAAAUUUAUAAUUUUAUUUUAUUAUAUUUUUUUCAGAAGGAGGAUGCCGGGCGUCUAUACAAUUGUUCGAUUCAGUCUUAUAAUUUUCUUAAAUUUCGGAUAAAAAAUAUAAUUAUAAUUCAAAAAAUCAUGUUUAAGAAUUCUAAAGUUAAUACAAAUCCUUUUUAAUUGGGUUCUAAAGUAAUACAUUUUUUUUCUUAUUUAGGAAUCAUAAGGGUAAUACAAUUCUUAUUGUUAAUUAUAUAUUAAUAUAUGAAUUAUUAAAAAAGUACAAUUCUUAUUUUCAAAAGUUAUAAAAUUUAUAAUUUUAUUUUAUUAUAAAAUUCUAAGUAGUUAAGAGAUAGGAAUCCUAAAAGAAAAGAGAGAUAAUUCUAAACAAUUAAUACAAUUCUUUUUUUAUAGGUUCUAAAAGUAAUAUUGAUACAAUUCUUCUUCUUAUUUAGGAUUCAUAAGGGUAAUACAAUUCUUAUUGUUAAUUAUGUAUUGAUAUAGGAGUUAUUAAAAAAUAUAAUUUUUAUUUUCAAAAUUUAUAAAAUUUAUAAUUUUAUUUUAUUAUAUAAUUUCAAAAGGAGGAUGCGGGGCGUCUAUAGAAUUGUUUGAUUCAGUCUUACGAUAUUUUUAAAUUUCGAAUAAAAAAUAUAAUCAUAAUUCAAAAAAUUAUGUUUAAGAAUUCUAAAGUUAAUACAAUUCUUUUGUUUGUUGGGUUCUAAAGGUAAUACAAUUUUUUUUUCUUAUUUAGAAAUCAUAAGGGUAAUACAAUUCUUAUUGUUAAUUAUAUAUUAAUAUAUGAAUUAUUAAGAAAGUAAAAUUCUUAUUUUCAAAAGUUAUAAAAUUUGUAAUUUUAUUUUAUUAUAUUCAAAAGUUAUAAAAUUUGUAAUUUUAUUUUAUUAUAAAAUUCUAAGUAGUUAAAAAACAGGAAUCUUAAAAUAAAAGAGAGAUAAUUCUAAACAAUUAAUUAACGGAAAUCUUAAAAAAAUAAAAUAUAAUAGCUAAAAUCUAUGAAAUUUGAUAUAUUUAUCCGAUUAUAAUUAUAAUUUUAUCAUAAUGUAAAUGAUUAUUGAUUAGUAUUGUGUUUAAGGGGAGGGCGUCCCAAAUUAAUUUUUAUCUAAAUAAUAAUAAAUUUUCUAUUAGUAUUAUGUUUGACGGCAAAGCGUCUAAAAUAAAUUUUUUAUAUAAGUUAUAAUAUAUUUUUUUAUUAAAACGGGACCACAGCUUAAAAUAAUUUUUAUCCAAUUAUAAUCUUUAAGUUUAUCACAAUUAUAAUAAUUUUUAUUAGUACUGUGUUUGACGGUAGGGCGACUCAAACUAAUAUCUAUAUUAUAAUUUUUUGUUAUUAGUAUUGUGCUUGACAAGAGAGCGGCUCAAACUAAUUUUUAUCUAUAUUAUUAUAUUUAAUUUUAUCAUAAUUAUAGUAAUUAUUGAUUAAUAUUGUCUUUGAUGAGAGGGCGGGUCAAAUAAUUUUUUUUAUUAGUAUUGUAUUUGAUAUGAGGGCUACUUAAACAAAUUUUUACAUUAAAUUAUAAUUUUUUUAUCAAUGAUAUAUUUAAUAGGAACAUGACUCAAAAUAAUUUUUAUUCAAUUAUAAUAUUAAUUCGUAUCAAAAUUUCUAAAAAAGAUUCUUGAGUAAUAGUAUUGUGUUUCAGGGGAGGGCGGCCCAAAUUAAUCUUUAUCAUAAAUUUUUUAUUACUAUUAUGUUUGACGGGAAAACGGUUAAAUCAAUUUUUUACCUAAGUUAUAAUGUAUUUUUUUUAUUAAAACGGGACCACGACUUAAAAUAAUUUGUAUCCAAUUAUAAUCUUUAACUUUAUCAUAAUUAUAAUAAUUUUUUAUUAGUAUUGUGUUUGACGGGCGACUCAAACUAAUAUCUAUAUUAUUAUUUUUUGUUAUUAGUAUUGUGUUUGACAAGAGAGCGGCUCAAACUAAUAUUUAUCUAUAUUAUUAUAUUUACUUUUAUCAUAAUUAUAAUAAUUAUUGAUUAAUAUUAUAUUUGAUGGGAGGGCGGUUCAAACAAUUUUUUUAUUAGUAUUGUGUUUGACAAGAGGGCCUAAUAUUUUUUAUUAAUGAUAUGUUUAACGGGAACAUGACCCGAGAUAACUUUUACGCAAUUAUAAUAUUAAUUCGUAUCAAAAUUUAUAAAAAAUUCAUAAGGCCGUCGCGAAGCGCGGCUUUAUUUACUAGUUUUAUUUAAAUAAUCGCAAUCAUAGUAUAUGUUUAAAAAGCUGUUGACUUAUAGAGGUUCAUUAGAUAACCAUCUCUCGAACAUAGCAUAACAUUCUGCCGGUUUGUAUUCUGGUGCUGUAUGGCCUGCCCCCUGUGAACCAAGAAAUCGUAAAUACAUAUUACAUGAUUGAAAAAUAUUAGGAGAAAGAAAUUAUGAAACUAAAGACUACGCACAAAUAGUCUAUUGCAUCUAAUAAUAUAGUUAUGAUUCAUUUUUAUUGAAUAAAGAUAUGGUUUUACGAUUUAUUGUACUCCAUGGUGGAACAUAGUAUUUUAAUAUAGAGCAAGAUUUGUGAAUAUUUUUUACAAGUAUGAGAACAUGAAACAAUAUAAUGAUAAUGACUAUUUUCUGACAUCACUUUAUGUAACCAGAGUAAUAACAAUAUAACUAUUUAAACGAGGAAACAAAUCAAACUUCGUAGUAUAUAGCGUAAAGGACACAAAAAUGGAGAUUAGUAUUAUUUUUUUCUUUUUGAACUAAUAAGCAAAAAUACAUCUAAUCUAAGCAAACAAUCUUAAUUACUCAAAUUACUCUGAAAACUUACAUAUAGAACUAAUUAUAAAGAAUGUUGGUCAAUAUUUGAUUUCGUCAAAAUUGAAGUAUAAAUACAUGGGUGUUAACUAUAAAAUAGGUCUAGACACUUUUUGCCAAUUUAUAAAAAUACAUGCCCCUAUACAUAUGAUAAAAUUAAAAAUCAUGCUCCAAUGAGAUUCUAUGACCCCAAUAAUUUCUAGAGGGGAGAAAAUCAAACCCCUUAUUUAGCGCAAAGAAAUUAAAUCCUUGUACUGUCACUUUAUCAUUUUUUGUCUAUACUAUAAUAUGUAUCUAGGCCAACAUUCCAGAGAGGGACUCCUUAUAUGGAGUUACAUAGCGCGCCACUAUAAAUCAUCAAUUUUAUUAUAAAUUCUGUUAUAGAAUACAUAUAAAACGUGAUUCUAAUAUAGAAUACUAUAAAAUAUAUCUAUUUUAAGUAAUUUAACACUUAAAAUUUGAUUAAAAAAAGUAUAUUUUCGAAACUGAUUCUACAACAGAAUAAUUCUGGAUGAUUAUUAUUCUGUUAUAGAAUCAUGUUGAGAUAUUGCAUAAUUUUAGAUGAUCUUUGGAAUAAAAAAAUUGUAUAAUUUCGUUUUCGGUUUAAUAAUCAAAAUUUGCAAUUAUAUUUCAUAAAAAAUAUAAUAGAAUAUAUAUUAUGUAUAUAUUUAUAAUGGUGUGCUACGUAACUCCAUAUAAAAGGGUAUGCUAUGGAGUGCUACCCUAUGUAUUUACUCCAACCUCUCACCCAUAUUUAUUUUAACUAGAAUAUUUUACCUCAAAUAUUGAAUUAUAAGUAUGUGUAUCACAUAUAAUUUGCUUGCCAUUUAGCGGUAAAACUUCUUGUGUUUGGUUAGGUAAGGUCAUGGGUUGGUUUAGUACAAUGGAUAUAAAAUUAGAAAGAUAAGGAGAUGGCGUAUUGUAGUGAUCAUAUAAAUAUUAUGCAUGUUAGAUCACUUAAGCCUAAUAUGUGUUAUGAAUAUCAAUAUGUAUAAUGUGCAAAUGCUUUCAGUGUGUGGGGUUGUCAUGCCUUCUCAACAAGUAUAAAGAGUUCUGGCACAUGCCGGACAUGCGUGACACUAUUGGGACUUGGGAGUAUGUUAACAAAUAAAAAAAACUUAUUUUUCUAGAGAUGGUCGAAAAAGAUAUACACCCUCUGUCUUGACACAUUUCUAUGCUCUCAUAAAAUAUAGCUCUGUAACUUAUUUUUAAGAUUUUCUUUUUCUGAAUAAAAAUUUAACAUCCAAACUUUAAUUCAAAAAAAGAAAAUUUUAAAAACAAAUCAUACAACUAUAUUUUACAGGAGCAUUAAAGUCCGUGUCGCGUCCCCGUCCCCAAUGUAUACUAUCCAGGGGGACGGAGGGAGUAACUAUUUACAAAAGAAGUCCCCACCAAUUUACAACAAUGAUAUACAACAUGUGUAACUUUUGAAUUAUGAUCAUUUGGAUCAAGGAGGUUCAAAUAUGUGCUAUGAUCCGGGUAGAGACCAAAGAUGUGAGUGACCGAUCUGGUGGAACAACUAAAUUUUUAUUAUUUGUUCAACUAGAUUAUCUAGUUAUCUAAGUGGGGGAGAGCACUCGUGCCCAAUAUUUACCCAACCCAAACCCAACUUUUAAUGUGAAAUUUACGUAUAUUUUAACUAAAAAGAAAAUUAAAUAUAGAUUAAAUAAUUAAUGAAAACAAAUCAUUACCUUUACUGUAGCAAAAGUCAUUUUAUUCGAGUAAGUCCUUGUAUAACUGUACAUCAAAAAGUUUGAAAAACAUAGUUAAAUUGAUAAAUUGAAAAUCAUCUCAAUGAUGGUAUAAGUAGGUGAAGGAUUAACAUAUAUCUCACCCAGCAUAUUGAUCUUCGACAACCCAUGGCCGCCAAUCAUCAAUAAUGGAGUAGUUUAGAUCUCUUAUCCAAGCUUGAGUUGAUUGAAAUGGCACAACCAUGUCAUGAUCACCGCUGUUGAUCAUCGUUAAAAUUCCUCAAAAUUACUUAGUUGUAGACUUUUAAAGUAGCCACUCUUUCAAUUUAUUUUAGUAUUAAAAACGUGUCGCAAAAUAUUGUAAACUAACCUGUAUAUGAGAGAUCUAUAACCUUUUCUGCUAAGAUUUGCAUGGUAUGGUCUAGUAUCCGUGAUCACUUUUUCAAAUAAUAAUUCAUCUUUGCAUCUUAUCCAUGUUCCUAUAGACCCCUGUAUAUUAAAAUAUGUUAACAUUCUUGAGUUUUUUUCUAAUUAAAACUAGCGGAGACAUACCUUUCUUAUAUGUAACGCUUUUUGCACAUUCUCAUCAUUACUCCAGUAACUAGAAAGAGGAUAUCCAUUAUUCUGCAGUCAUUUUUUAAAAGAAGAAAAAUAUUGAUACCUUCUUAUGGUGCUACAUGUAGAUAAAAAACAGAAGUACGACUCUUUCAAUCAUGUAUUAACAUUAAAACUUGUUCGUUGUACAUUUAAUAUAAUUCAGACAUGCAUUAGCUAAUUGAUUUAUCUUUUAAUAAAAUUAGUCUUGAAAUUCAAAGUUUACUAUGAUACACAAACGUAUUUUUUUUUAUUACACUAGUACUAUUAUUAAGGUUGAAGUUGCUAUAAAGUUAAUAUUUUAAAAAUGUUAGGAGGCUGUAGAUAUGAAAUAUCAUAAUUCCAUACAAGUUAAUCAAGAGUAAAUUAAGGAGAAGAACAUACACGACAAUCGAAUGCUGAUGAUCCUAAUUUAGGACUGUCAUAGUCUCUAAUUUUAUCCACGAUAGUUGUUUCUCCAUAAGAUAAUGACCUGCGCAGCGGCUCCACACAAUUUUUCUCCAAUAUUUGUGGAGUAAAGAGGCCACUCUUACACUGAAGAGACAUACAUAUCAAAUUACUAAGUGACAAACAUAAUGUAACAAUAUGAUGACUUGACAAAUUAAAGUGUGAGAACUUAACCAGUUCAAAAGCCUCUUUAUCUUUUAAACACUCUGCAUUAUCAAAACUCGAUUUCUGAUCAUCAAGUUCACAAUUUCUCCUCAAUGACUGUAAUGAGGAAAGCUAGUGAUUAAAUUAGAUAUGAUUAAUCAAAAUCAUUGAAGGAUAAGUAGUACUAACAAUUAAAACGAACCUUAUACAGUUCAUCUGAAAUAAUUCCCAUUCCAUGAGCAAAUGUAUAGCGGAAAUUUGUUUCAUUUGGAAUUGUCACCGGAUUUCCUAGUAAGUAACCCUGAAUUGCACACCAGAAUAUCAACCAAGAAAGAUGGUGGUUGGAUUCUUGCUCAAUCAGUACAUAUAAUCAGGCUCAUAUUAUUAACUACGUCUCUACCAUUGUAAUUACAUGUUAUCCCUCCGGGAUUUUCGUUAUUCUAUUUCGCCUAUUGACAUCUAGUAUUAUAAAUGAGUUAUAUGGAAUUGAUGACUGUAAUUGUAAUUGUAAGUAGUCAUUCGAAUAGUUAGUGUAGUAUCCAUGAGAUCACUGUUUUGCAAUAAAAAGGAGAGAAAAUACUAGAAGAAAAAAAGCCUUAUUUUCAAGACAACUAAUAAGUAGUUGCGUAUAACUUACAUUCCACCGAGCAUUAGUCAUAAUAUCAAGGCAAUUUAUAAAUAUGUAAUCGCUAAAAUUUAACUCUAAACAUGAAUGAUGCUUAAAAAGGAUAAAUAGGAAAGGUGUUAUAAACAAUGUCUACCUAGAUACGCUUAUGAUUAUAUAUAUACUUUCUUUAACAAAAACUUGGUCCUUAAAAUGGAAUACCUAUCAUCACAUAGUAUAAAAUACAAACCUUUAGAUUAAUGGACUGAUCAGGAUCUGAUAUAGCUUCAUUUGCUGCAUUAGAGUCAACAUAAUAAUUAGAUGGCUGAAAAUCCUUAAUUAAACUAUAAAACUUCAUUUUCUUAAAAACUUUAUAAAGCACUCUUACCAUUUGAAAUCAUUUGUGUAAUAACCGAAACAAAGACUCCGGCAUAAGAAUCUCCACCAACAUAAAAUGGAUUCAUAAGAAACUGAGGAUGACUAAUGAACCACUACAAAACACUUCAAUUAUAACCAGUCCCUGAGAAUAUCUAGUCAUGAGUAAAUAAAAUAUUUACCUUUUUUAAAAACUGUAGAGCUUGAGCACAUGCUUCGGGGUCAGAAGAUUGAGAAGCACUUGAUGUCUUGGCAUAAGAAAAGCCCGUACCAACAGGCAAGUCAAGAAAUAUUAUACUAGCUGCCUGUAAGUCACAUAAUGAUAGAAAAAGAAAUACAGACACAUUAUAAUUUUGAAACAUAUUACAAAAUAAAUUUAUAUGACUUCAAUUUACUUGAUCACGUUUAUUCAAUGAAAUAAAGUAAAGUGUUUUAACAUAUCGAAAUGUCAAACCUAAGCAUAUUUACUAGUUACAGUGAUAAUGAUGUCUUUACUAAAAAUUUUGAACUCAUUCUAUCUUGUUGAAUCUCAAAUAUAGCUUCAUAGAAUAAAUCUUAUCAUUUUUUUAGUUCGCUUGAUAUAAGGACUAUUUAGUAUUAUGAAAAGAGUUAAUCGUAUGGCUUUAAUCCGUCAUAAUCUCUUUAUGUUUAAUUGAUACCAUUGUAACGAUCUCAAAUUAGAACGGCCUGGGUUAGUAAGCCAUAACACAACAUAUAACAAGGUGUCAUUUAAAUAUCGUUCCAUAUACAUCCAUUAUUGAUCAUAUCACACAAUAUCGCUCAUAAGCAUACUCGUAAUAGGGGAUAAAAUUUCUCAAAUUUGCAUCCAUACUCGUCAAUCAUCACAUCUACUAUAUUAGCGUUAAAAAAAUUAUGGAUCAAUGAAUUUCAUUUAAAAUGAAACGAUAAUGCAGCAAGUAUAUCAAGGUCACAGUGAAAUACAAUAUUUGUAUCUCACUCACUAACAAUAUAUCUACAAUAAAAGAAGUUAAUAAUAAGUAGAAAGAUUACCUUUGUCCAUGUGUGGGGAUUUAAUAUUAGUGUGGGCAAAGUCCCAUUGUAUUCCACUUGCUCAAAAUAUACGGGACCUAUAUAUACACAAGAUUGGGAGGGUUAUAAAUUUAUUACUAGUAACACAUAAAAUUCAGAAUUGAGACGAAGAAAUCACCUUAAAAAAAAAAAUUAAAGUCACAAAAAUAGUUAAAUUUUACAAUCUAGAUGAUCAAAACAUAAUUUCUAUUUGAUGACUCGUAAGAUGAGUUUUGCCGGUAAGGUUUUAGAACGAGUAGGAAGAUUUAUGAUAACUUAAUAUCUUGUCACAUGUAAGCUGAGAUUUACAUGUAAAUUUUUUGACUCGUGAUGUCUUGUUAUAUGUACUUAUUAUAAUGAUUUACAUGUUUAAAAUUUAAAAAUUAUAUUAAUCAUAAAAAAUAAUAAAUCUUAUUAUUAAAUCUCAUUUUCUUAUUUUUCUUAAAUAUGUGUUUAUAUAAAUCAGAAAUGUCUAACAUGUGCCCUCAAGGCACAGGAUAUGUCAUAAUUACCAUCAUUAAAUGUUCUUUUGACUGGCAUAAGUAUCAGUGUACGUAUAUAUAACUAUUCAAAAUCUUACUAAAUACUAAUUAUAUAUUUAUUUAUAACUUAUCUUUCAAAUUUUAUAUUUAUGACAAAAUAUUAUUUUAUUUCAAAAAAUGUGGGGAUCAUAAGAUAACUUUUUUAUUAAAUUUUAAUCGAGUAUAAAACAAAUUUUAAUUAAUCUCAACCCACAAAUAAUAACAAGCCCCCUGCAUAUACAUUAAUUUUCUAAUUAAAAUCAGCCUCCUAACUAAAUCAGCCAAUUUUAUAUUUAAUAACAAAUGUAUGACUUUUUUUAUUUUAAUAUUAUUAAAUAAUAAAAAUAAUAAAAAUAUAAUACAAUACAAAAGUAAAUGUGAAACAACCCGGGUCAAAUCCCGAGUCUUUUCCGAAAAUCGAGUCAAGUCCCGAAAUCCGAAUCCGAAAAUAAGCCCAAAUAUACUGGCCCAAUUGCAACAACUUGGGUAAUCCACAAGCCCACCACAGGCCCCCAAAAGAUCAUGAUUUGUUGGUGCAAUUAGUAGUAGUACUUAUGCUUAUAAACUGAACUUAAGUCUCCACACUUCUCGAUGUGGGACUGGGGUGUUACAAACUCCCCCACUUAAAUUCCUGACGUCCUCGUCAGGCCGAAACGGAUAGCCCAUAGGCCCAGAUCGAACCUCUCUAGCCAUUGUGGGAUAAUACCGGCUGGCUUCGUGUCCCCGCCUCCGGAUCUCUGUCCAUUGCGGGAUAAUACCACCAGCCUUCGUGUCCCCACCUCCGGCAACUUGACGAAUCAAGCUUUCGAGAGCCUGCUCUGAAUACCAUAUGAAACAACCCGGGUCAAAUCCCGAGUCUUUUCCGAAAAUCGAGUCAAGUCCCGAAAUCCGAAUCCGAAAAUAAGCCCAAAUAUACUGGCCCAAUUGCAACAACUUGGGUAAUCCACAAGCCCACCACAGGCCCCCAAAAGAUCAUGAUUUGUUGGUGCAAUUAGUAGUAUUACUUAUGCUUAUAAACUGAACUUAAGUCUCCACACUUCUCGAUGUGGGACUGGGGUGUUACAAAAUGAAAUAUCAAGUUUUCUUGAUAGAUGUGAACAUUUGAAUUUUGUACUCAGGAAUUAAUACAUUAUCAAUGGUACUAAUGCACUGUGCAUGAAAACAAGAUAUAAUAAAUAUCUUAAACCUGUGACAAACCCCAUAUAAAUUGAUACUCCCUCCGUCCCCCUCAAUUGUUUACAUUGGAGGGGGACACGGAGACCAAGAUAAUGUAUGAAAAAUGAGUAAAGUUAGAUGAAAAGUUGGUAAAAUGGUGGGACCCGUCAAUAUUUAAUAAUAGAUUUGAGAUAGUGGAGGAAAGUAGUGGGUGUAAUAGUAGUUUUUAUUGUUAAAUAUGAGAUAGUGGGGGAAGAUAGUGGGUGUAAUGAUGAAAAAAAACUUACUAUUUAUGAUAACGUAAAAAAAUGAGAGAGAUAUCUCAAAAUAGUAACUGUAAAAAAAUGAGAGGGACAGAGAGGGAGUAUAAAUUAAAUGGAAGUACAAUAAGCACCUAUCACUGUCAGCACAGUGAAACGGAGUAAUUAUAAUAGAUUAAUAGGUGAGACGUAGCAAUCAUAAUUGAUGACCAAACAAGACAGAGCUAGCAAUUAAUUUUCGAUAGGCAGAAUUUGAAAUAAUUGAUUCUUAAAAUCGAAGUAUGCAAAACAUCAUAGGCAAAAAAAUGUAUAUAUAAUGAAUACUUAUCAUUCUGCAAAAUACCAAUCACAUUUGAAAUUAUUAUAGAAAUAUUAUAAAAAUAUGAGAACAAAUAUAUUGUAAUAUUAAUUUUAGGGAGCGGUUGGAUUGUAAAUGAUAAUAAGAAUUAGAAAUGAGAAUGAACGGUACGAGAAUGGAGGGCGCUGCAUGAGUUGUGCCUGUGAUUAAGGGAAUAAUCAACCACUAAACGUGAAAAUGAAAUGAUCAAUAUAACCACUAAAUGUGAAUGAGAUUUCCGUUUCGUACAAUAAAUUUAUUGGGAUUAUGAUUCCCAAUACUCAACUCCAACCAUGCUCACAUGUUGUCUAUAAAUUUAGCCAACCUCCUAUGGAUGACUAAAUUUGUCGAACCUCUACAAGUCUGUAAGAAAAUCUGUAGGAAGAUUGUACAUCAUUUAUUACCAUAUUGAACUGAUAUAUUCUAUUUUAACAAUUUAAAAUAUUAAUAACAUACUAUUUUUAAAUUAUAACCAACCAAUAUAGCCAGUACCAUUGAAGCAAAAUGUCUUGCAGGUUCAGCAAAUUUUACAUAAUGUCUUACAGGUCCAAUUUAGCCAACGAUUAUAGCCAACGCCGUUGGAGAUGCUCUUAGGAUGCUGGUUGUAAAUAUUUGGCUUAUCCGCGCGAAAACAUGGUUGGUGCAACGUUGCUAAGAAAUAUAUUUCCUCAUGGAUGGACUAUUACUCGCUACUAUGUACAUUAGAAGUACAAAAUAAGUUUCCUCACAGAUGGAAUAAUACUUUCUCCUUUCCUCUCAAUUGUUUACAUCGGAUGAACAGGGUUAGGCAUGCAUUUUAAAACUCUAAUAAAAUAUAAUUUAAUAAAUUAUUUUAAAUAUUUUUUCUAAAUAAAAGUUUAGUAUAUAGAUUUUUAUUAAAAAAAUAAAAAUUUUAAAAAAAUUUGAACUUAUACAUUAUAUAUAUUUUAAAAUACGUGUCAAACCGUUAAAAAAAAUUGCUAAGAAAUCGUAAGAAAAGAGAAUGUACUAUUUUAGAUUGAAUUCAUGAUCACUACAAUUGGUAUUUAAAGUUGGUCAUGCCAAAAAAUUAACACAUACUCCCUCUGUCCCCCUCAUUUUUUUACGUUACUUUUUGGCACGCUUUUCCACUCUCAUUUAACUUAUAGUUCCAUAAUAUAUUUUUUUAAUUUUUUUGUUCUGAAUAAAAAUUUGAUACUUAAACUUUUAUUCAAAAAAAGAAAAUUUUGAAAAAAAAUUAUGAAACUAUACUUUAUAAGAGUCUCAAAAUGCGUGCAACCUAGAGGGACGGAGGGAGUAUGACCGAAAGAUUGACUUAAAAGGAUAAUCCUUGAAUCUUGAUAACUAAGCUACGGUUAUAAUGGUGUGUACCGAAUUCAUAAGCGAAGGCAGUGAUCGUAGAACACCCGGGACCUCCUGUCAUCCAGAGUAUCAGAGGAUCAUCUCUCGGAUUUGUCUGAGACUCGACAAAAUAAUAAAACAACUGCACAUCAUCUGAUUCAUCCACGCCAACGUACCUAAUAACAUAUAUGAAUCUCAUUAAUUUCACAACUUAUCAUUACUGAUCAUAAUAACAAAAAUAUUAAUUCUAGAUUUAUCAAAACAUAUUACAAGUAGUCAAAUGAGUUGAGAUGGACUGACCCAGUUGUGAACCGAAAAGGGAGCGGUCCUUGAAAACCGGGGAGAUACUUGAUGAGUGGUGAAUGGAAGUCUGCACUUGCUUGCUGCACAAGGUUUUGUAGUAUUGCAGUAACUACGACAAGAAGCUGUAUGUUGCAGACACUGAGCACUUUUAAAUAUGGCUUUUUCUCCAUUUUAUGAGUUUGAUGCUGGUGCCUUUUCAGUUCUGCGUUCAUCACACAGAGCCAGAGCCCAGAGACAUAUAACUGCCGUGAUAAUUAUAUGGGUUUUUCUAGUGUGUGCUAUGAGCACACACUAAACGCGAAAUUAUAUAAGUUUAAAAUAUUUUGAUUGGUUUUUUAUCUUAAUAACGAUAGACCUCCUCCAACAACCACAACAAUCAAAAUCUUCAAAACAUACGGCACUUAGCAUGUCACACAAUACACAAACCCUAAUUAUAUUAUAAUAUGAAUAUAUAAAGUCAAAAGGCAUGUGCCUAUUAUUAGAAACUAGGACUUUUGCCCGGCUACCGCCGGUAUAUUUCUACUCAGGAGUAUCGUGAAAAAGUCGAAAGGAAAUUUUUCAAACAAAAAGCCCACACAAAAGUCUAUGCUAAAGUGCUACCAUAAGUCCCUAAGAAUUUUUAUUUAAUACUGCAUAGGUUAUAGGUAUAUACGAAACACAGUGAGCAUUCUUAUUUAACUAAUUGGGCCGAAGCAUAACAAUUGGGCUAACGCGGGCAUAUUCUUUGGCAGGGCUAAUAUGAAAGAGCUUGGGGGAAAUUGCUUAAACAAAAGGUUUACAUGGAUGCUUUUAAAUACAGCACAUAAUAAUUUCUUUAAUAAUACGAUGUAGGGACAUAAGCAAUAAAGAAAUUAUACUCCCUCCGUCCCUCUGAUUUCUAUACACUUUUUUUUUCGGGAUGUCCCAUUUAAUUUUAUACAUUUCAAAACUUUCCCAAAAUAGUAUACUUCUAUAAUAUAAAAAUCCCACCCACCCACUACUUCCAUCUACUUUUUCAAAUCUAUCAAUUAAAUAUUCAUGGGUUCCGCCACUUUACCUACUUUUCUUUCUCUUUCUCAUUACUUUACACUACUUUAUACAUUUUUCUUAGGCUCCGUUAGGGCUGAGCAUUCGGUCGGUUCAGUCCAGAACCGGACCGGACCGAAGACCGAACUUUCGAAAUUUUCUGGACCGGACCGGACCGAAGUUUGCAUAUGGACCGAACCGGAACCGAACCGAAAUAAUUCGGUCGGUCCAAUCCGUUCCGCCAGAACCGAAAUUUUUAAAAAAUUUAAAUUAUUCUGUAUUAUAAAGAAAAUCAACCAGCAUGAUUAAUGAGAAAAAACCACCACAGAUAAUUCAAGGAGCUACAUUCAAAGCAGUAGCAUAACUCCAAAAUAGCCAUUAAGUUUACAAAUUUUAAAAACCAAAUACAUUAGGCUGCUAGUUGAUCAAAAACAAAAUAAAUAGCCAGAGAUGUUUUUGCAUUCGCCGUCAACAAAUAUACUCUUUUGAUCACCGGAUGUAUCAUCCAAAUCAAGAAUCAAAUUUUUUGAAGCAGCCUUAGCUUCCUCCUUUUUGCUUGUCCUUCCUGCCAAGUGCCAACUAUAAGACAUAAAUUCAUAAGCAAAUAGCCGGAUUACAGAACAGGCAAAUAGCUCGAAUAGAAUCCGUGGCUCGUAUCUUUGAUUCUCGAAUCGAAUCGAUUGUGAUGAAGUUAGGCGGUUAGGGUUAGCUGCGUGUGAAGUGUGAACUGAUGCGUGUGAUUUGUGAACGGCGCGGCGCUCGGAUGGGGAGGCUGGGAUGAUAGUCGAUGGAUUAGGUAUUUAGGUAUAGUGACUAUAGUCAGAUUAUUAGUAUAAUAUUUUAUAUAAUAUAUAAAAUAAAAAUAUUAAUUAUAUAUAUAUAUAUAUAUAAAAGUUCGGUCCAUUCGGUCCAGAAUCGAAAUUUCUCAACACGGACCGGAUCGGACCGUAUUUUAUUUUGGUCCGGACCGAAGUACCCGAACGGACCGAAAUUUCAGAAAAUCAGGACGAACCGGACCGAAAUUAUUCGGUUCGGUCCGGUUUUUCGAUUUCGGUUCGGUUUUCCUCAGCCCUAGGCUCCGUGUCCAAUUCAAACGUAUACAUUCCAGAGGGACGGAGGGAGUACAAAUUUUACCGAUACAUGAAAACUUGGCUGCUCUUAAGAGGAAACAUGUUACUCUUUACGUUUUAUAUUAUUUGACGUUUUGACUUUUGUCAUACAAAAAAUCGGACGUUGAUUGGAUCGUAAAAAUUAUUAUUUUUUAUUGAAUUUUUUGUGAAUUAAAAUAUUAAUUAUAUAUUUUUAUUCGGAUAAAAAAAUUUAACAAAUAAUAUUUUUAAAUACCGGACCAAAUCACUUAAAACUACACGCCCAAAGUGUUAAAUAUUAAAAAAGAUAGGGAAUAACCCAUUAAAAUAUAUUUGUAACAAAACUAUAUAGUAAAGAAAAUUGUAUGUAUUAUUAUAUUUAAACUGUCAAAAUCUAAUCAAUCUAUUAUUAGGUAGAAAUAUUUUUAUAGUAAAAUAUCCACCUAUGAGUUUUGUUGCAUGAGAAAAACCAUAUUUCUUAAUUAAAAUGAAUUCGAAGUCGGAGCACUUCUUCACACACCAUUUCAAGCAGGUAGUCGUUGGUCUCAACUCUCAACUCUCAAAGAAGAAUUAUAAAGGUUGAUUCUUAAUUAAAAUUUAUUUAUAUUUGAGAAUUACGUAAUAUUUUUUAGUAUAUAAAGAGUUCUUUCUUUUAGUAAUUGCUGCUAGGCGUCACCGAACGACGACGCCUCGCACUUUAAUCGAAUAUUUUAUGAUCAAAAUAAUUAUUAUAGCUAAGCGACUAUUCGCAUUUUAGUCAAAUAUUUUAUAUUUAUAAAUUUUAUAACAAUCAAUAAUGGAGGUUUGUUAUACAAAAGGUCUGCAUGGAAGCCUCUCCAUAGGUGUUAUGAUGAUAAAUUGCUUAGUGAUACGGUGCAGGGACAUAGGUCACGUAGCAAUGACAGUAAUUACACAAAUUUGGCCAAUACAUAAAAACUGGGCUAAUGUCAAGAGGGAACAUGUUAUUUUAUUUUUCAUUAUUUGACGUUUUGGCUCACAUCUUUAGCUGAGCUGACCAGAUAGUCAAUAUUAUUAAUUUUAAUUUAAUUUUUUUGUGAAUUAAAAUAUUAGUUAUAUGUUAUAUUCGAAAAUUACGUAAUAUUUUUCAGUAUAUAAAAAGUCUUUUUUUACUAAUUGCUUCUCGGCGCCGCCAAGCGGCGAUACCUCACACUUUAAUCGAAUUUUUUAUAUUUUAUAAUCUAAAUAAUUUACACAGCUAAACGACGACUCACAUUUUAGUCAAAUGUUUUUUAUUUUUUAGUCUUAAAAUAUUUAAAUACAUUUCGUAGGUAUCAAAUUUUUGAAUAAAAAUUAAUGAUUAAUAGAAAGACUCACUUUUAUAUGAAUAUUGAAUUAAAUUACCAGAAGAUAAUACAUGUGAAAUUAAAUAUAAUUAAUAUAAUAAUAAUUUAUCAUAAGUUAUCUUUUAAAAUGAUCGUCUACAUAUUCCUGACUCAAAUUUCAAAAAUCAAAAUAAGUCAUUGAAAAAAGCUACUUUUUUGAACUUCUUGGAUUCACAAAAGUUAACUUAUAAGUUCAUUUGACGAACGUUUAAUAAAACUAAUUCUAACUCAUAACUAAAAGUUUCUCAGUGUCGCUUCUCGUGACACCUGUCUAUUGCUUUUAUCGUUGAAUAUUCAAACUUGAAAAAAGAAGUCAUACAAUAAAAUGGCAAGAAAAUUAUAAAGUUUUAUCUUAGUCCUUUAUUUGAGAUUAUCAAAAUAUUUACAAAAUUCAUGUAUCGAAAUUGUAAUUUCCUCUUUGACUAAUUUUAAAAAAUUAUUGAUGCAAAUAAUUGUAAGAAGAAAAAGACAACUUAAAAAAUCUCAAGAUUUGUGCGCCUGUAUCUCAUAUUAAUAUUAUAUAUUUUAAAAUUAGAAACGAAUUUAUGUUAAAAAAAAUGAUUGAUGCACUAUUGUGUAGUUAUUUUUAAAAAUAUUAAAUCUUGGAUUAUUUAAAAUUUUGCUUGAGAUUAUAAUAAUAACAUUAAAUUGUAUUAGCUUUAAGAGAAAUGUGCAAUGUAGCAAAAGAUUUUGGAUAAAAUAAAAAUCAAAUUUUAUAAAAAAGUGUUAUUUAACUCAUAUAUGUUCGAAAAUUACGUAAUAUUUAAAAAGGUUGAUUCUUAAUUAAGAUUCAUUUAUAUUCGAAAAUUACGUAAUAUUUUUCGGUAUAUAAAAAGUUUUUUUUUACUAAUUUCUUCUCGGUGGCGGGGUAUUGGGCGCUGCUUUGCUAUGCGCUAUUCGCCGAGCGGCGACGUCUCGCACUUUAAUCAAAUAUUUUAUAAUAAAAAAAGUUACACAGCUAAGCGACGACUCACAUUUUAGUCAAAUAUUUUUUCUUAAUCUAAUCAUAACAAAUAAUUUAAAUACAUUCCGUAGCUAUCAAAUUUUUGAAUAACAAUUAAUGAUUAAUUAAAGACCACUUUUAUAUGGAUAUUAAAUCAAAUUACCGAAGAUAAUACGUGUGAAAAUCAAAUUUAUUUGUAGUGCAUGCAGCAUUAUUUAUGUACGUACAUUUAUAUUAAUCAUCCCCGGUUAAUGAGCUACAUAUUUGAUUGAUCAGAGGGAGUAAUUAGUGUGAAAAUUAAAUGUAUUUUAAUAUUAAUAUAUUUUUCGACCAUUAACUAUUAUUAUAUUAGUUAUUAUAAUCAAAAAUAAUAAGAUUUAUUGAUCGGAAGGAUUAAUCACACCGGAAAUAAGAUGUAUUUCAAUAUUAAAGCAUUAUUUGAUAUUAUUUUAUUAUUAUAUUACUUCCUCCGUCGUCCUUUUCAUUUUUUUACAAUUUUCCUCCUCCCUUUCAUUUUUUUACAAUUUUACUCACUGCUCCGCACGCACUUUAAGACACUUAUAAAACAUAGUUUCGUAACUUAUUUUUUAGAUUUUUUUUUAUAAAAAUUCAAAUAUUAAAUUUUUAUUCAACAAACAAAAGAUUAUGGGAAGUCACCCAUGAAACAGUAAUUAGAACAUCAUUCAUAAGUGUUCAUUUCUUGGUGCUUCCAUCAGCAACUGUUUUCAUAUGCCAAUCUUCUGUUCACAAUAAUAAUAGGAAAAGUAUGUGGUUCUCUUCCACAUUGUAGAUUAACGGUGUUGUGCAUUUGCUAUAGAAAAUGAAACAGAUAAAAUUUAAUCUUACAACUGCAAAGUACAUGAUUUUAUGCUUGGGUAUUUUCCACUUAUUCAUGGCUUACUACUUAGGGUUUGGGGGUUUUACACCUAGGUUUAGAUCUUAGGUCUUAGAGUUUAGGGUUAGGAUUACAAAUGCAAGAAGUAAUUCAAUAAAAAUAUUUAUUAAAACUUUUUGAUAAAGUAUUAUCACCAUACCAACCAAAUUUUACCGUUGAUUGGUGAGUAUAAAAUUAUCUAUCACAAAUUUCUUUUAAUUAUUUUUAAAGUAUAUUUCAAUAGGAUGGGCUUAUAAUCCGAGUUUAUGGGCUUACAAUUCGCGGCUUCUAGUUAUAAUCUGAUAAGUUGGAAAUCAUAAUUUUUUUCAAUUAUUGAUUGCCAUUUUUUAUAUUUGAAUUUAUAAAUAUGCAGAGGAUCUUUAAAAUAUUAUUUAUAUAUUAUUAUUAUUAUUAUUAUUAUUAUUAUUAUUAUUAUUAUUAUUAUUAUUAAUUUUCCACUUAUUAACAACUGAAAAUGAACAUGAUUCAAGACCAUUCAUGCUCCUAGAUUUUCCAUAUAUUAACAACUUUUAUUCAAUGGGAAUUUUAAGGGCUUAGGACUUAGUGCCUCACAUUUAGGGUUUGCGCUUAUGGUAUAAUAAAAAAAACUUCAAAUUAUUUGGUGGUAAUAUAUAACUAAUCAUAAUUUGUUGUAUAAAUCUCAGAUGAUAAAUGCAUCUAAUUAAACCAACAUCUGCAUUUAUAAAUCUAAUUACAAAGAUUUGAGAUAAUUUGAAAUAGAAAUGAAAGAAAUCUGACAUGAAAGGACAAACUUUACGCUGGAAAAGAGGGAGGAAGUUUGAAAGCAGAACAGGGGCGGCACGUGAGACACAGAUGAAUCACAACAUGCCUAUGGCAAAUAUAGAAGCAGCCAUAUUUGAAAUUUCAAAUUCAAAAGCAAAGGUGUGUGACUGGUUAGGUUAUGAGGUUUGAAUCUAGGAGGAAGUAAUGAUGAGUGGAUAAUGUGUUAUUCGUAGUCCAAUUCCUAGAUGACAUAGGCCUGUUUUGUUGAGAGAAGCAGAAACUGCUUCGGGCUUCUGCUUCUCUUGAUCCGUUUCUGUAAAAAAGUAGAAGCAUUUUUAAAAAGCUGAGAAUGCUAACUUCUCUCUCAUAGCUUCUGCUUCUUUUUCAAACACUUUAUUGACUUAUUUUGUAAUCCAUUUUUUUACUAAGUCACUUCUUUUAAGCUAAUCCAAACGGCCCCUAUAUAUGUCUUCCCGUGCAUGCAAUAUACUAAUAUCGUGAGAAUAUAAUAGUAAAAGACUGUAUUCUCUAUCAAGACAGUAUUAGCCUAAUGCAUGUCAACCUAUUACUUUUUUUUUCGUGACACAUACAUCUUUUAUCCUUUGAAAAUAUAGCAAGUUAUUAAGUUAUUAAGAGAAUGUUACUACUGUAUAAACAUAUAGUGUAUAAACAUAUAGUGUAUAAACAUAUACUGUAUCAUUUAUCUGUGCAUUAAAAACACAAUCAAAAACCAGAGAACUUACGUUAAAACUUUUAAGCAGCUUUAACACUGAAUAUAUCAUGAAAGGUCUUAAAAAUUUUGGCCAGGUUACGCUAUAUAACUGUAUCAAGUUAUCAACUUAGUUUUAUGAUAUGGAGUAAUAAUCAUAUAAACACUUUCUUUAUGUUCGAUUAGAAAUACUUUAAAUUACAGGAUUUCGUUAUUUUCAAUCACAUAAAUUUAAUUUUUUUUCUUUUAUGCAUGUAAUGUAUGCUCACUAUAAGGCACGAAUGUAAUAUAUUGUAUACCCAAUCCAAUAUGAAAAUAACCACUAUCCACCAACUUACUAAUUUUUAUUACUCAAAUAUUAAUCUCUAAUCAGUGAUAAAUUCAGUUGUUUAGUUCAAUAUAUGUUAAUAUAAGUACAUCUUUAUCUUAAAUGGCCUGAUGCACGAUUGAAAAUCAUUGACUUACGUUAUGCUUUACGUUCAAAUUGUAAAAUUGUUCAUGACUUUAAAUAUAAAAAACUUUCAAAACUUUAGAGUCGUAUAGUGCAAUUCUAUAUUUUCCCUAUUACAGCUUUUCUUUUAUACAUGUAUCCGAUGUAUAAUACUAACCAAUAGCUAGACAUAGGGCCUGGAGUUAAUGCGGAAGAAAAUAUGUGAUACACUCGAUCAGUUUGAACAACUACAAUCACUGCACAUUGCACCACAUCUUUAACUGACAUGUUGCGGAAAACUUUUAUCUUCUGCAAUGUGUAUAAAAUAAAGUUGAAAUUAAAGCAACUCAUUUGUAAAAAUAUAUUACAACAUAAUUGUUGAGUCUGACUUUCUUCCUGGUUAAAAAUUAUUUAAAAUCGAGUAAUCCGAAACCUAAAACUGCUUUUAAACUGAGGGCAAACCCAGCAGUGAUCCAAAGAUCCAAAUUUGGGGCAGAUUACCCCAAAUUCUCCUCCAGCAGUACUGAUCCAAAUUUGGAUCACCUACUUUAUUAUAAAACAAUGAUUUUGUUAUUUUAUAUCUUUCGUUUAUCGGACUUAAAAUUAUUUUGUGAUUAUUAAUAUUUAACUAAUGAUAGUUUAAAAUUAAUAAAAUUAAUGUUUUAGUAAAAUUUAGAAUAAUAGGAAAGCAAAUUUGAUUGAAAUUAAAAAGAGAGUAGAUUAUAUGCAUAAAAUAAAAGGUACAUAAAAUACAUAAAAUAAAAUUACAAUAUGGAUAAUGACUUGGAAAACAAUACGAUAAAUAUAAAUUUUGAUUUAGUCGAACGGAUUAUUUCUGUUUCCUCCGAGAUAAUCAAUAUAUUGUCUGUAGCUAUUCAUGUCAUUUUGAGAUCCUUGAGCUUCAUAUUCAUUUCAUUGAUUUUGAGAUUCUUUAAUCAGUGUUAAAAAAAUAAUUAAAUUAUUUAAUUAAAUAUAAUAUAAGUAGUUAAUAAUGAUUAAAAAUUAAAUUUAAGAUUAUAUAGUUUAAUUUUAAUAUAAAAUUUAUAUAAUAUAAUAUACAAAAAGUAAUUUGGAUCAGAAUUUGGAUCACGCUGCUGGAGUUAGUCACAAAUUUGGAUCAGAAUUUGGAUCAGUUGGUGAUCCAAAUUUGGAUUUUUGGAUCACAACUGCUGGAGAUGGCCUGAUAUACAUGAAAUAUCUGGUAUAACUAAACAACACGGCAGAACCGAGAAAGACUCCAAGCUUGCUUUCUUUUCAUUUCAAAAACAGGUAGACUUUGUAAUAUUAAGGGGCCGUUUGGGUUAGCUUAAAAGAAGUGAAUUCUUGCUUAUAGUAAAUAAGUGGAGUAGAAGUGAGAAGUAAAUAAGUUAAUAAAGUGUUUGGAAAAGAAGCAGAAGUUGUGAGAGAGAAGCUAGCAUUCUCAAUUUCUUAAAAGUGCCAGAAGUAGCUUCUGCUUCUUAUGCUGAAUCGUUACCUGACCCGCUGAAAAAUCCAUUCGUUAUUAUCUUGAGAAUAAUGGCGGAGAGCUUGAGGCUAGAGCAAAAAAAGCUUUUGGAGGGAAAACAGAACAAAAGCAGAGUAGUGACAUUUGAAAAUAGAGAGGAAAAGUCAAAUAAUUACACAGAUUUGAUAGCCAUAAUUGAAAGGGUGUCUAAAAUUCAAAAAGCAGUGUCAGACAGUAAUGAUCAAUGGCAGUGCCCGUAAAUAAGAGACCCGAGAGGGGCAGUCGACGUAAUUAGGACGCGUUUUUGCCAUCAGGAUUUAUAUUCUGUAGAUAGUCAUCUUGUCCCCAAUGUAAUUAAUGGAGUACUGUUUCAUGCAAUAUACUGCAACACUUUUAAAAGCAACAUGGCCUUUUUUAGCAUUUCCUGAUUUCCUCCCUGAAAAAGGAACGAAGACUUCUGAAAAAUGAAGAUUAAAAUUUUUAAUUUUAGAAUAAUUUGUUUUCUGAUCUUCUUUGAAAUUUGACAACCCCAUUCUUCACAUUCCUUUUUAACGACUUUUAAUUGAAAUUUUAGUUUAAUCCCAAUCAAAUGUGUGUACCUUGUGUAUAAAUUAUGAAAUUUAGCUUGUUAGAGUAUUAGUAUAAGCAAAAAGAGAAAUUUAUAGUCGAUUUUAGAAAAACUAUCCGAAAUCAUAUACAUUUUGUAUACGAUUUUGAUGACAUUUGCGUCAUAUGUAAUUUAUAUGUGAAAUUUAGUGAUAUUUUUAGUGAUAUUUAGUGAUAUUUUUACAAUCAUAGAAUUCAAUUAUUUUUAUUCAAAAAAUUUUAGUUUUAUACUGGAAUAAUUUGACUUAACUGGCAUCCAGUCCUACUCAUUAAAUUAGCAAUACAUAUCGACCAAACUAAAUUAUUGCUUUUCUGGCCUUGAAGAAGUACCGGCCCUACUCCACCUGCAUCCGAAGAUUGCCGGGCUCGUCGCUUCACCGGCACGAUGCACGAUGAACAUGCGUCGGCAGGGAUCAAAGUUAGAGGAUGGUGUUGUGAAAAAUAAUUUUACUUAUUUUCGUUAGUAACGAAUAUGAACAAUCUAUUAUAUAUUUAUUUCUAAAAGAUAAAUGAAUAUAAAAUUUUAUCAAAAAUAAGUCCCAAUUUUCGAAAUAAUAUUUUAACCAAAUACCAUCUAUAUUUAUUAGUAAUUCUAAACGCUCAUUAAAUACCAUAUUCUUAAGAAUAACUUAAAAUUAAUAGGAUAGAAUUUUAAUUUUUUUUUUUGAAUCUGUGUUAAAAUAUUUCUAUGAGGUUUUUCUCCGUUUUAUGAAUUUGAUGCUGGUGCUUUUGCAGUUCUGCGUUCAUCACAAAGGCAUAUAAUUGCUAUUAUGAUAAUUACUAUGAAUUAUAUAGACAAAUUACUAUAAAUACACAAAGUCAAUCCCAUGACUAUAUUACUAUUAUUCUGCAAAACCAAAAUACAUGUGCCAAUUAUUAAAAACAAAGUUCAUCCAACGUGCACAUUAAAAUAACCUUUGUAUAAGGCCACACGAAAAGGGUUGGAUUUCCACAAUCUAUCGCUUACUAUAUCAAUGUUUAAAAAUAUGUUUCUAGAUGCGACCUUAUAUCAUUUAUGAUUUACCCAGAUGAUCAACUGGUUAUAGAUUAAUAGUUUAACAAGCGAUAAAUUGAAUACAAUACAUAAUACUAAAGAGUAGUAAGUAAUAAGAAUACACAAUCAUCUUGCCGUUAAUUUUUAUUAUUCUGCGUCUUCAUCUCUUAUCAACAUGAUAAGAAAAUAAAAUAUAAUAUUGACCAAAAAAUAAAUAAAUUACAUGAUAUAAUAAUAUACCAUACUUUCUCCAAACUGCUGACAAAUGCCUUGUUCACCGUAUGUUUCUUGAACUAGCUAGCUCUCAAGUUAUACUCCCCUCUAGUCUAGUCCUAUAUCCACCGUCAAUCUUAUCCGGCAACUAACUCUUACAACUUGAACAACUAACUCUCUUACAAAAAAAACAAAAGAAAUUUUGAACAACUUACUCUUACAAUUUGAACAAUAUAAAUAAGAGUGAAUGAAAAUAGCUAGACUACAAUAUAUAUAUUUGAGUUUGAGCGAAUCCAAAUAUAAAAAAAAUGUAAACAUUGAGUUUAUUGAGUUCUUGUAACUUGAAAUAGUUAUUAAAAGCUGAACAAUAACAUGUAUUUAUUUAUAGUCACACAACUAAUGUUCAAAUAUUUGGUUUGUUCCCCAGAUCUAAAGAGUGCCUUGGUUUAGCUAAUAUUUCAUUUACGCAUUUGGUUGCUAGUUUGUCACGUUUGGUUUUGGUUUUUUUGUUGUCUCACCGUUUGUGUGAGUUUUAUUUUUUUCACACCGUUUGUGUGAGUAUGAUGCUUGAUUUAAUAAUAAAAAUUGAGGGAUUGCAUUCUCAGUCGAUAGCUCAAACUGGUUAUAACAGAAGCGGAAGUACAAAUCACGUGAUUUUAUCUCUGAGAAGAAUGAAUUAAUUAGUGAUUGUUUUUUUGUUUGGUUUAUUUGACGCGAGUGUUUAUGUAGAUGCCUAGGCGUCUGGCACGGAGGAGGGGGCGUAUGUGCAAACACUUCUGGCUUUUGUUUGUGUAGUCCACAAGUACAAUUAAGCAGCUUGUCAACUGUCUCGGUAGAUAUCAAAUCGCCACAUCACUAUCUCCGUCUUGGUUUCUUAAACAUCUAGGCCAUGCAGUAUACAUACAGUCAUACACACGUACAGUCCAGACUUUCGUGUGAUCAACAGAUUGGAGCGAAAGUUCACGUCAGUGAGAAACGUAUAGUACAAAGUGGAGACAAAUUCAUUGGGGGAGAGUUUUGGUAAAAGGAUUUGAAGAUGAAAUGGAAGCUAUAACCUUAAAACACCAGUCUCCUUCAUGCAUCCACCAGUCUUACAAUUUACAGACAACACUUGUGUUUGUUCACAAGUACCGAAUAUAUGUGUACUCCUAUAAAAAUCAUCUGUCUAUCCUUAAUCUACAAGAAAACAUUCAAUUACCUCUCUGUGGGAAAGACCGUGAUGACUGAUGGUAAUGAUAAGAAGUUUAAAACACAGAGGAAAAAUAGUGAAUUUGAUAUUAGAAAGCAUGUUGAGAAAGUAAAGGAGGAGAAGAGGGAAUAUCAGAGCAUACACAAGAGGGGGAAGAGUAACAAAGUAUCAUUCACAUUAGCGAUGAAGUUAAUUUAUCAGACCUUCUCUUUACCAAGAGAAGAAAUUAUCUAGUUAAAUACAAGAAUAAUCAGCGACCUUUUAUCCUAAUUUUGAAUACAAAAAAUUAGAAAUGAAGAGACAUCAAGAAUAGAAGGAGCAGUGGUUCAUGUAGCGUUAAGUUAUAAGAAUAAAACGUUUAUUUUUUGAAUAUGAUAUUAGACACAUUAUUGCUUAAGAGCAAGUCCAAUAGUGUCCUAAUUCAAGUCUUAAGUAAUAUAAAAAAUCAUGUACUAGUAAUUUAGGAUUUAUUUUACUGACUUCAACUCCAACAACGUGCCUUAUUCUCAUUACAUGUUUAAUAUUUUAUUAUUAAAGUUUCUCUUCCAUCAUUAAAGCAUAAUAUCAGUGUUCUAAAAGUCGGCGAUUAACUGAGAUUAAUCGCCGAUUAAUCGCUGUUCGGUCGGUCACCGUCUCGAUUAAGCGUUAAUCGGUGGAAAAAUCGUUUUUUCUGAAAAUUGGUCAAAAACGGAUUAAUCGGUCAAAAGACGGGAUUAAUCGGAAAAAGGCGGUCAAAAAUCGGCGAAUUUAAAAAUUUAAAAAUACAAAUUAAAAAAUUAUAAAUUUAAUUUUAUUAUCUUUCACUCUUUCAAUAUUAGCCUCUAAACUCUAAUUACAAAAAAUUGAAAUAUCUUCCUUCGCAGAUUCAAUCAAAUUCAACUUUAUAUAUGAGAUGACUGGACUUGUAUAUGUAUAUAAAGGCUUGUUUUGUGUUAUAAAAAAUCAUAAUCUUUUGAUUUCAUUAAACUAUAAAUUUAUAGUAUAAAUAAUUAUAUUAAUUAAUUAAUAUAUAUAAUUUAUAAAAUAUUAUUAAUUGAUUACGAUUAAUGAUCCGAUUAAUCACUCCGAUUAUCCGAUUAAUCGCUGGACGGUGCCGUCACCGACUAAAUCCGAUUCCCGCUUUUUACAACACUGCAUAAUAUAAAGUAUAGAUGGAAAGAGAGUGAUUGUGACGACAAAAAAAAAAAGAUGGAAAGAGAGUGAUCAAAAAAUUUAUUAUAAAAUAUAGGAUUUAUUAUAGAAUAUAGGAUAUGACAAGAAGGGAGUGUCUCGAAAAGUCAAAAAUUGCCUAAGGAGGGAGGUGUGUCAAAAAUAGAGAUAGAAGAGAUUGUCUUGUCGUCGUACGACUAAGGGGUCAUUUGACAAAUCUGAACAAUUAAUAUAUGAAUGAAUAAUAUAUCUGAUUAAUCUGAAUGAAUAAUAUCAUUUGAUUUGUUUUUGAAAAUAUCUGAUUGACAACUUUUGCAAUAUAUAUAUAUAUAUAUAUAUAUAUAUAGUUUAGUUAAAAAAAACUUUAAGCUCAUUUAAUAACCAUAAAAAUAUUAUACGUAUGUAAUAUGAGAUACAUAUGAUCAUGUUAAAUAUAUUCCAUAAUAAUAGUCGUUUUGAUUUUUAGCACAUAAUUUAAGGUGAAAAUUAUAUUUUUAUAUUAUUAUUUUUUAGAUAUUUCUUUUUUUGAAAUAUAAAUACUAAAAUUUAUCAUAACAAAACUAAAAAUAAUAUAUAAAGAAGAUUAUUUUUUCACAGCUCAAAUUAAAUAUACAAAAUUAAAAUAUUAUUUUGGAACAAAUGUAAUAUGAAUUUUUAUAAUAUGACAUCUCAAAGAGAUGUAUAAUUAUGACUGAUUUUCAAGGUAUCAAAUCAUUCUUCAUGUCAUGAUUGAUUUUAAGGUGUAUAUACAUGUACAUGACUCGCUCAGUUAGGAUUUCUCGGAUGGAUGGGUCAGCAUACUUGAGAUUCGCUCGGCUGUAUCAGUGGCACCUCCAAAUGAACUGAACGAAAUGUCUCGGUCAGAUGGGCUCUGUUCAGCUCUGUUAAGAAGCAGACAAAUAGCCCCUAACAUUGUUAGAUCAAUUUUUUCAAUCAAAUAUCUUAAAUUAUAACUUAUAUGAGGAGGACUCGCUCCUUAGAGCAUCUCCAACGCAGGUCACCUGUUAACUUUAAAAUCUACGUGUCAGCUCAUAUACUUAAUAUGUAAAAAAAAUACAACUCCAACGCAGAGACAUGUUAGCAAUAUUUUUAGAUGCCGAGAAAUCAGCACGCUACAUAUAUUGAUUGAGUGCCUGUCGUCUAUAUCAUAUCCAUGUCAUUUUCUUUUAAAAUUAAACUGGAAAAAAAUUUAGCUUGCUUCAACCCAGGUGUCUGUAUUAUAUUAUAUAUAUGUAUUAUAAUAUUGUAAUUCAAUUAUAUAUAUUUGUAUAACCUUUAAAUUUUAUAAUUUAAUUUUAUGUAUUGUUAAGUGUAAUGUAUUGUUAAGUCCGACUCCGCUCUGAAAUUGCCUCGUUUGGUACGCUGUAACUCAACGCGGUAACUUACAGUUCCACGGAACUCAUCUGAAUGACAGUGUUUGGUUGUAUGAUAUUAAAAGUGGGUAACGUAACUUACACUUCCAUGGAACUUCAACUUCCUGUAAAACGGUGUAACCUAGUUACACAGCUGAUGCGUGGUUUUUCUGGGUUACAUAGUUGUUUGCUUUUCCAUUUUUUUGAAACAACAGUUGUUUGCUUUUUAUUAUUAUUAUUAAAAUAUCAUAAUUUUACAUAUUUAAUAAUGGUCGAAUCCAAAAAAUUAAAUUAUAAAUAAAUAUUAUAUCAAAAUUGUUUAUUUAAUAAUAUAUUAUUUUUUAUUCAGGAUUUACUCAUAUCACACUCUUAAUAAUAUUUACUAUAUAUUAUUAUAUAUGUUUAUUUUAUAUAACAAUUUAUCCAUCUUAAANAAAUUAAAUUAUAAAUAAAUAUUAUAUCAAAAUUGUUUAUUUAAUAAUAUAUUAUUUUUUAUUCAGGAUUUACUCAUAUCACACUCUUAAUAAUAUUUACUAUAUAUUAUUAUAUAUGUUUAUUUUAUAUAACAAUUUAUCCAUCUUAAAAUUUUUUUAUUUAUUUUUCUUCUUAAAUUAUGAAACAUAAAUUUUGUUCUAUAUUUUAUUUAUUUUUAUUUAGAUAUUACUAAGAUUAUAUUAAUAUAUCAUCUCAUCUAAAUAAUUUUUUAUAUUUAUAAAUAUCGUAUUUCUUUUCUUUUUAUAUUAGGUUAAAAUUCUUAUUAUUUUAUGUUAAUAAUACAUAUCAUUUUUAUUUAUAUAUUUAUAAUAUAUUAUUUUGAUAUUAUCUAAAUUGUUAAAAUUAUAUGGUUAUAGAUGUGGUAUGUAGUACAACCAAACACUGUAAUUAUCAGUUACACAGCAACUACACUUUGUAACCUACUUCCAAGUAACCUUAAGUUCCUCUGUAACCAAGAAUCCUGCUAAACAAACAAGGCCUAACGAGAACCGCGCAGCAAGUGUUAUCCCAUUUCGGAAGAAAUAGGCUGCUCCCUCUGUUGCCACCCUCUGUUUUGGACUGCAAGUGUUAUGCCACCCUCUGUUGGACUGCUCCCUCUGUUUUCUUUCUUCCUUUUAUAAAAUUUUAAUUUAGCAAAAAAAAAAAGUGUUAUCCCAAAGGCGGGAAAAACCAAAAAGGGAAAAAUAAAGAAGAAAAUACUAUUCCCCCAAACAAUUUUGCUCCAGUUUUAUUGCGUAUAUCUGUGGAUCUCUCGCUCUCUACUUGCAGAAACCUAGGGUUUCAAGUUAACAAUGGCGGAGAACAACGACACCGCGACGAAAUCGAUCAUCGCCGACGUCGCCGACAAACUCGCGGCCAAGAAAGCUUGUCCUAACAAAGAUUUCCUCAUCAAACUGCUGCGAGUACGCUGUUUCCCCCCGAUUUUCAAUUAUUUCGUAACAUUACUGCUAAUUAGUUGUUUCUGCUUUUUAGAAGUUUUAUUCGGCGUUUUGUGUAAAUUUAAUUGUAAUUGCUUGUUUAUUGUAUAUUGUGGUGUAUAUUGGCUCUAAUUAGCAUCUUGUGAACUUAUAAUGCUUUUGAUAGACGUUGAACUUGGUGUACUUGCAGUGAUAAUACUUUAAUUUGAAAAUUCAGCUCUUAUAUUGUUGUUUUGGAGUUUAUGUGAUGGAUUUAGCCUAAUUUGCUGAGGUGUUUUUGUGAUUUUCUGCACCUGACUAUUUCAAUUAGGAUAAUCUCAUGAAUGUGUAAGUCGUGUUUUGAUUUUCGACUUUCAGUAUGGUGAUAAUGAGUUUCACUAUAUCUUUUGUAUCUCCCCCGCUUUGUUGUUAUUUGUUUUUUUGAUUAGAUGAAGUGGCUGCGUCACAUAUUUUUAAAAUCGUAUGAGAAGUGAUAUAGAGGAAUAAACUGUUUGUUUUAUUAUUUUAAACACGGUGAUUUUACUUGAAAAACUUGUAGUGACACAUGCUUUUUGUUAGAAGCACACAGUUUGCUUUCAGGGGUUAUGAUGCAGCUCUCAUGUGAUAGCGAAACAACCAUAUAUAAAGGAAAAAUGUGUAAACUGUAGUGGGUAAUGUUAUGUUAUGUGGAAAGUAUAAUGAUCAUUACCUCUUAUGUCAAAACUUAUACCCGGUAGAUUAACGAUUUAAUAGAGUUUUAGCUCUGUGAAUUUCUAUCUCUUUGAUGGUUCCCAAUUAUAUGGUUGCAUUUACCGCUAUCAAGAAGCAUGAAACUUAGCAGUGCGAGUUACCCUUGUCUAUAAUACGAAACCUAGCAGUGUGAGUUGCUUUUGUUAAGAAGUAUGAAAUAACUAGGAGUAUAAAUUCCCAUAAAGAGUAGUUGUGGUGGUUCAUUUUAAAAUUUAUAGCUCAGGAAACUGCAGUUUACAAUUCAUUAUACUUUCUCUUUCAUGUUAUUGAUCCUACUUCAUUUUUGCAGCAAGCUGCCAGUACACUCCCCGAGUUAAAGCAAUCACCGCAGCUGAGUGCCGUUGUAAAGCCCCUGACUGAUUCUCUUGUCAAGCAUAGUUUACUCGUGCAUAAAGACAAAGAUGUAAAACUACUUGUUGCCAUAUGCUUCUGUGAAAUUAUUCGGAUUUUGGCACCAAAUCCGGAUUUCAGCGAUGAAAUAUUGAGGGUAAUUAUUCUAAAUGUAUAUAAAAAAAUACUUAUCCUUCCCCCAGAAAUGAAUCCUUAACACACGCUUGCAAGAAAAGGAAGCUUAUAUCAAAAUCUUGUGUGCAGGACAUUUUUAAGCUUUUCAUAAGUAUGUUUGAGGAACUUGCUGAUACCUCAAGCCCAUAUUUCUCGAGGAGGGUGAAAUUAUUGGAAACUGUUGCCAAGCUGGAAUUCUGUGUCCUAAUGAUAGACACAGGUUCUGAAGAUUUAAUUCUUAAAAUGUUCACCGUCUUUUAUGAUGUUGUGAGGUUAGUUUUCUUCUUUGUUCCCUCUAUAUUAUAUCUAUAUUUGCUUGAUGUUACUGUUUUGCACUAUUUUUUUUGAAUAAGUGUCCUCAUACUAUCUGCAUAUAUCAUAAACUCAUAAUGCUUUUAUAGAAUAUUUGGUGCUAUAAGUAACCAUAUCUUUCAUUGUUUAAUAUGAUUCGUUUCUUGGUAUUGCUUGAGGGGAGUUCUAUACCCGUGUUGGGAUCCUAGAUUUUAAAUCUAUGAUGUAUUGGAUGGUAGAUGCUUUGCAUCUUGCACAGGUGUCCAAUGUAUGAUUUUAUGGAUUAUAUACCCAAGUAGUAGUUCAUCUACAAGUUCUAUAGGUUCUAUUGCUGAGGUGCUACAUUUCCGUCAUAAAUCUGAAGUGUAUUCUGUAUCAAAUGUCCCUUUACAGGGAACAGCAUCCACAGAGUGUGCUCAAUGCAAUGUCAUCCACAAUGGCUCUAAUUUUAAAAGAGAAAGUUUCCGAGCCACUUUUAGUAGUGACCCUGCAGAAUCUUCUGAAUGAAGCAAAGGUACAAAUAUUGACAAGUGCUGAUUUUUCUUUGUAUCACCAGACAUGGACAGUAUAUUUUGUUGCUAGUUGCAUUGUAUGACUCACGUCAGAAUGUUAAUACUAGUAUGCUAGUUCUGUUAAUGUGUAGCGUAGGCAGCAAUUUAUUUGUCUGCUCAGCACAUAUGUGUUAAAAAAAUAAUCAACAUUUACUCUAAGAUUAUUCACAAAAUUACUAUAUUUUUCGCUUGUGUUCAAUAUUAUCUCUCAUCUAUAUACUAAGAUUCUUUAUCACUAAUAAUAUUGAGAGUUAUUUCUGAAAUAUCUGAAUGUACCAAGCGCACUAGUAAAACAUGUAGAAAAGAUGUCCCAAACUAAUAGGCAAAAAUUGAAUAUUUAUUUAUUAUAGACAUUAUUUACUGGGUUUUAGGUCAUUUUCUAAGUCAUCAAGGUUACAUUAUGUGUACAGAGCUAUGUGCGGGAAUAGGUGCUUCUACCUCCCAUGUUGCAUCCUAAGCCUUAUAGCUGAUGUUCAGGCAGUUUACUAGGCAAAUGCACAUUAUAUUAAAAACUGUUGUUUUAGUUCUUACUGGUAAAAGUGCAAAGAUAAAAUAGUAAUUAACUAAAAUAUAGGAUCACACAAUAUAUUAGGAGGAAAACUGAAUGUCUGGAAGCAGAAAGUGACAAAUGACAUCUUGAUUGGGUUCUUGGAGCAUUUUCUGGCAUAUUUGUCAAGGACUCAAGGGGUAAAGGCAAGAAAAGGCUCUAGUGAACCACUUGCCUGCCUCACCUAGAUGUCCAUAAGGUAAAUUAGGCGUUGCCUGCCCCUUCUUAACUAAGGCAGUUCAUCACCUUUCCACCUAGGUGACUCAUUAAGUACUAGUUUUACGGAUCUUAGCACCCAUUUGGCGCAGGCAUGUAAAUUUAACUACAAGAGUCCAGUCUCCAGUUUCUGCUGGAUCGCUUUUAGUACACCAACUUACAAACAAUCACGUGGGGAAAACAUUGCAGGUAACUAGAAAUGAUAAUUAUAUAUUUUGCACAAUUUUAAAAACAAUAAAAAUUUAAAUAAACUAAUUACAAAUUUUGAAGUUUUCCAUGUAAACCAUGCAGCCUUUUAUUUUAAGACGUACAUUAAUUUGAUACCCAAGUUACUAUAAACUGAAUAUCUGAUCAGCAAAUCUUUUAGGAGAGGAGACUAAUAAGAAAUUAUAAUCAAAAUUCUGAUGUCCUAAUUGUUGCUGAUACAUCACUGCCUAUGUUAUGGUCCAAGUGUUAGGAUAGUAGUCUAGUUUCUGAUUGGUCCUCGUCAUAUUUUUGGGGUUACUUACAUAUACAUCCAGGCAGUGAGGUUCCAGAAUUUCUUGACUGCCUCAUAUCGCCACUGGCCUAGGCUGCUCAUCUAAAGCACUGAUUUUCUCGAUGUCUCCACAACUGUGCUUCAUUUUUCAAUUCUUCUUUCUAUCUCAGAACUUCGCAACUAACAUAUAUUUCGCCAUAUUCUUCAUUCUUCAGUGCUGUGUGUCAGGAACGGCCUGUCUUAGUUGCAGCACUUGCUAAUAGUAGUUGUCAGGAUUAGUACUUAGCACAAUAAUACACUUCAGUAAGGGUAGUUGUGUCAUUUCAGUACUAGAAGUUAGUUAUAGUUGAGGUUUGCCUGUAAAUACUUGAUAAGCUUUGUAUUUCCAAUUAUGCACGUUGAAUAUGAAUAUGAAUAUGGAACUUGUUCCACAAUUCUCUCUCUCUUCUCCCUAGGGUUUCUCUCUCUCUAGAAAUCUAUCUUGUUCCUUCAAGUUUCUCUUCUCAUCUAACUCUGAACUCUGCUUCUCAUCUCUAUUUCUGCCUAUUUCUUCUCUAAUUCCCUAUUAUCAAGCUGUUACCUUACUUAUAAGAAUUGACAGAGAAUUUCAAACGGCUAGCAUUCCUAAUGGGUCAAGUAUGCAAUCUUGCAAUUUUGGUAAGGAAAACGUGCUUAUCUUUGAUCUUGAUCCUGGUGGUCAGGUGCAAAAUAAGAACUCAAAAGGUGAUUAUAAUGAGUUCAAAGAUGUGAUCUGGAGUGAGGUGAAGCUUAGGCAUGUUAGGGGGUGAGCUUAGGCAUGUUAGGCAUGUGAAGGAUCUUGGUUUGAAAUUCUUGGCAAUAGAUCAACUAUUGAAGGAACCUUCUCAGUUGCAGAGGAAGGUGUUUAUUUUUGAGGUUUCCUAGACAAGGCCAAAAUAUUCUGAAAGUGAGUAAUGGAUUCGAUCAAAUUGUAAGUGAAACCAAUCAACAACACGUUGAUUCUGUGGGAACUAGGAUGAUUGCACCUAUGUUACUCGGACUCCGCUAGAAGUGUCCGACAUGGAUACGUGUCCAUGUGUUGGACUCAGUAAUAUUUUGAAAAAUUUACAUGUUUUUGGCCUAAAAUAAGUGUCCGAGUCCAAGUGUCGAGUGUCCGACAUGGGUACUUCGAGGCAAAAUGAAGAGUCCAAGUAACAUAGGAUUGCACUACCCUACAAGUAUGAGUACGUGGUACUGGAAGAAUGUAAACUUGAAAUGAAGAAGUCCAUGAGUCCUGAAAACCAACAAGCCUCGAAGGCAAGUGUUACAAUAUACAUAUUUCAUCCAGGAGGAGAUUUAAGUUGUCUCCAAGAUGUUCUACUUUGUGUUUCGACUGGUACUCCAAAGCUUCAACAAUUGUCACUGUAUUUGUCGAGGGAGAUGACCUAUGCACUUAAGGAAAAAGAAAGUACAGUGGCUGAAUCAUCAUCCAGCAUACAUGAAAACACAAAGUGGAGAAGUGCAAGAUUAACCAUGAGGACAUGGUUUAUAUUCAAGGAGGGAGAUAUGUCAGGAACGGCCUGUCUUAGUUGCAGUACUUGCUAAUAGUAGUUUUCAGGAUUAGUACUUAGCACAAUAAUACACUUUAGUAAGGGUAGUUGUGUCAUUUCAGUACUAGAAGUUAGUUAUAGUUGAGGUUUGCCUAUAAAUACUUGAUAAGCUUUGUAUUUCCAAUUAUGCAUGUUGAAUAUGAAUAUGAAUAUGGAACUUGUUCCACAAUUCUCUCUCUCUCUUCUCUCUAGGGUUUCUCUCUCUCUAGAAAUCUAUCUUGUUCUUCAAGUUUCUCUUCUCAUCUAACUCUGAUCUCUCUGAUCUCUCUGAACUCUGCUUCUCAUCUCUAUUUCUGCCUAUUUCUUCUCUAAUUCCCUAUUAUCAAGCUGUUACCUUACUUAUAAACUCAGAAAACACCAAAUAUAGCAACAAAUCUAGGUCAGAACUCAUCAGUUCCUGACACGUGGAUCUUGUUUUUAUUCGUACGAAAUACUACUUGUAUUCUGUCCAUUUUCCGAAUAGAUCAGUGUGAAAAUAGGUCAACAUAUUUUUUUGUAUUUUAUAUGUAUGAAGACACACACAUG
rnacentral:lncRNA from 1 species